CAUCCUCCACUAUCCUUUUUGGAUAUGAAACGGAACAGUCCGCCAUUUGCAAAGCAAUUGUGGUCGGCUUAAUGGUUCCUAUUUCAAGCUUGUUGAAGAUUGAGAGAUGCAUCAAGUUUAUGCUUGCUCCCAAAUCACACAAGGCCUUUCCAAAACGACCAUUACCAAUAUCACAUGGAAUAGUAAAGCUCCCGGGAUCCUUGAUCUUGAGGGAUAACUUCUUUUGAAGAACGGCACAACAUUCUUCGGUGAGGUUGAUCGUCUCAAAUUCUUCCCAUUUUCUUCUUCUUGGAUAUGACCUCCUUGAGAAAUUUUGCAUACUUGGGCAUUUGUUGCAAUGCUUCAACAAGUGGGAUAUUCAUGUGUACCUUCCGAAAGAUCUCAAGGAAUUUAGAGAACUCACUCUCCGCAUUUUUCUUUUGAAGUCUUUGAGGAAAUGGAAUUGGUGGGUAAUUAGGUGGUGGUGCCUUGUACACGUCUUUCUUCUCCUCCUUGUCGCCUUGCAUUUUUGAAGAAAUGCUCUCAUAAUUGUUCUUGACUUCCGAGGAUAUCUUGGACUCUUCAAACAUCGUCCCACUUCUUAUAGUGAUAGCCUUGCAAUGUUCUUUUGGAUUCACAACGGAGUUACUCAGAAAUUGUCCUUUUUGAUGUUGGUUGCUUAAGGAUUCGGCAUUUGCCCCACUUUCAUCUCAAGUAUUUUCAAUUGAGUCGUCAAAAGAGCUAUCGAAUUCGAGCUUGUUGUAGCCGCCACUUUCUUCAAAAUAAUCCCCUCCACCGGAAAUUGGUAGCUAUUUGCGGCUAAAUCUCAAUGAUGUGGGCGGCCUCCUCGUAGCUUUUCUCCAACAAUGCUCCAUUGGCCGAUGCAUUCAUGUCUCUUUGCAUCUCACCACUACACCCGGUGUAGAAUACACAAAUGAUUGUGUUUUGAUCUAAGCCAUGGUUAGGGCACUUCCUUAGCAUCUCUUUGAAUCUUUCCCAAGCUUCAUAGAAGGAUUCUCCAUCAAAUUGGUGAAAUUGGACUAUGUCCUUCUUCAUCUUCAUGGUUUUACCCGGAGGGUAGAACUUGUUGAGGAACUUUUUAGCCAUCUUUUCCCAUGUAGUGAUAGACACACCCUCUAAAGAUUGAUACCAUGUCUUGGCCAUGCCCCUUAGUGAGAAGGGGAAGAGUCAAAGUCAAACGGCAUCCUCCGGGACUCCAUUUAUCUUGAUGGUGCCGCAUAUCUCCGAGAAGUUUCCAAGAUGUCCAUUCGGGUCAUCUUGAGAAAGACCGGCGAAUUGGUUUUGUUGCACUAUAUUUAUAAGGGCUGGCUUGAGCUCAAAAUUAUUGGCAUUGAUCCUUGGAGCAUGCACAUCUCCUCGUUAGGCCACGGGUUGGAACAUCUCGCUAAUGGGUGGUGGUGGUGCAUUCCUUUGAGCCUCUUGCUCAUUAAUUCGCCCUUGCAUGGCCUCCAAUUGUCUUUGGAGUUGGAGGAUCAAUUCUUGAUUUUUCGCCAUGUUUCCCUCCAAUUCUUUCUCUCUUCUCGCUCUUGCUUUGUUGUGUCGGCAAAAAGCUUCAACUUCAAGGUCAAUGGGUAUAAGAGGAGCACCCUUAGACCUUGUGUUCAUGCACUACCUACCAACCAACAAGAAACAACGAGUCAAGACACAAUCUUAAAAUUAGAAACAAAAAUAAAUCAAGGAAAAUGUCUAAACUAGUUAAGCACAAUGAUUCUGAAUAUCACAAGUUUUCGGGCUGCUCUGCUGCCUGGCAGCGACGCCGACAGCUGUUCGUUAUUAUUUUUACNAUAUAUAUUACGGCUAUUGGGGGGGCCUCUCCAGAGAAAACCCAUCACUGUUUGGAGAUAAGUUACAUAAAGGACUUACACAAUAGACUCUCUAUUAUUAGGUCUAGUAACUUUCCAGAUAGAAUCGUAUAAUAUAUUAUAUCUUUAAUUAUUGAUUUAUCUUGUUGGUCAAGUUAUUUUGUUUCCUUUUAGAUGUUUAGGGUUUUAUUAUAAAUAGGAGUUUUAUUUAUGGGAGUCGAAUUGAGAGUUAAAAUGUAGAGGGUGGGAUUGUUCCCUUCUCGCGGUGUUCUUCCGGUAUUCAUGAGUGAAUCAAUGGAUUAACCCUUAUUUACGUAUUCUGGGAUACAAUGGUUAUCAACGGAGUUCGUAUAUUUAUCAGUAUCAAAUAUAUUUCACGCUUCUACGUGCAUCAUUGGUAUCAGAGCCUUGCUACGCUCCUACGCGAUGUCUCCCCGUCAAUCAACCGUUCAGAAUGUUCAAGAUUAUCUCCAUCGUGAUGACGACCUUCUGUCUCAACAAUUCAUGGAAUUACGAGCACAGAAUCGAGAGAUCUUUGACUUCCUACACGGUCAAUAUGAUCGACCCUAUGCAGAACAUCAUCAAGGACGUUUCCGAUUCGAGGACGAAUCGUUUCAAGGAUGGAGAGAAUGAUGAAGAUAUGAUCGUAUAAUAUAUUAUAUCUUUAAUUAUUGAUUUGUCUUGUUGGUCAAGUUAUUUUGUUUCCUUUUAGAUAUUUUAUUAUAAAUAUGAGUUUUAUUUAUGUUUUAUGGGAGUCGAAUUGAGAGUUAACAUGUAGAGAGUGGGAUUGUUCCCUUCUCGCGGUGUUCUUCCGGUAUUCAUGAGUGAAUCAAAGAAUUAACCCUUAUUAUACGUAUUCCGAUAUACAAUGGUUAUCAACGGAGUUCGUAUAUUUAUCAGUAUCAAAUAUAGUUCACGCUUCUACCUGUAUCAUUCACCCUCGGUGAAAUGUUAGAUGAGGAUGUGCGUGCACACACCUUAGAUGUGAACCACAUUCACCAUGUAACGUUUUGAUAAAUAAGAAUCAAAUUAACAAGAGCCUACAACUUUUUUACGAAUUACACUCAAUAGUGUUUAUCUCACAAACACUUUUCUACUAGAACAAAUACAAGAACUAGUACCGGGAAACAAUAUUUCUAGUGUCAAGUUCGGAGGACCUAGUAGGAAACAAAAUAAUUCUCAACGGUGCAUUAAGCGAUAUUAAUCAAUUAAGGACGAAAUCCCCUAUCUUUUUUAAAGAAAGUAUGCAUUCUUAAUUAGUCUUUAAGUUAGAUAUCUUCUCUUGAAGCCCAAGAAAAAUACUUCUUUUGCGUGAAGGGUAACUAUUCUUUUGAAGAUAUGCACGAAAAUAUUUAUCCAUAUUCUAUAAUCUUAUCAGGUUAUAUUUUCAAUCAAAAGAAGGCCAGAGUUGAAAUAGAUAUAGAGUCUCACAGGGAAUACCUUGAAGUAUAUAUCCUAAAAAUCCCCUAUAAAUAAGAAAGUUGCCCGCUUGGAUCAAACAAGAACGUCAAUUUGUAUUAGUAACAGAAAUAGCACCAAAUACAAGAAAAACGGUCUAUAUAAGUAACAAACAAUUAAAGAGCAUAAACCAUAUACUAACAUCUUGCAUAAGUGAGACAGUGAGUCAUGGGCUAUGCUUGCAACUUCCCCAUUCUUCUUGGUUUCCUAGAUUUGGGGCAAUCUUAGGCAACAAUUGAUUUCGCCCUACGAAGACUCAUUAGAGGAACGACAUCAGCUCCUGACCAGCUUGUCCGCGUCUCGGACGUCUAUCCUUUCCUUAAUUCCUUUUCAUCCUUCUUAAGAUUAUCAGAAUCAGGUUGGUGCCCUUUCUUCAAAGUGUGCUCAAACAUACACCUUAUGAGUCUAUACGCACCGUCCACGUUGAUCCUCACCGCGGCUUUCCCCUCGCUGGCAAUGGGCAUGCGAGCGUGAAAUGGGCGUCGUGUGACAGUCUCCCACACUUGAUUCGUGAACGUCCCCGAACACUAUGUGCGCUCGAUAGAGACUCAAUAUAGAGGACUCUUUCUCCUUUGUCGGUCUAACAAGCGUUUGGGCAUUUACACAGCCCACGCGGUCACAUCGACUAGACAAGGCAAGGCACGAUCGUGACCUACCAGUGCUUCUCGAAGGGACUGAGGCUCCUGCUUGCCCAAAAACCUUCUGGCGGGGAGCAUCUCAUUCCACCCAUACGGAAUAACUUGCCUUCCUAAUCUGCACUAAUACCAACUGUCACACCAUACUUACAACUUCCACAUUCUCCUUAGCGUUUCCCAAGACUUAGAGCAAUCUUAGACAACAACUAGUUUCGUCAUGCCAAGGCUCAUCAGGGAACGACAUCAGCUUUCGACUAGCUUGGUGGCAUCUCAAACGUUUGUUCCUCGCUUAAUACCUUCAUCUUUCUUAAGAUUGGCGGAACCAGAUUGAUGCCCUUUUCUUCAGAGUGCACUCAAGCAUACAUCACGUCAAUUCACACGUAUCGUCCAUGUUGAUCCACGCCACGCAUUGUCCCUCAAUGGCAACGAGUAUGCAAGGGUGAAACGGCGUUGUGUGACAUUGUGUGAGUGAAGAAGAAAAGAAGUUGCAGCCACCACAGCGAAGAAUUCGCUCACAAUUUUUCCUUUUAUGUUAUAUAUUUUCAUUUAUUUUUAUUUUUGUUUUUUGAAAUCUUUUUUUUCUAAUAUGGGUUGCUUGCUCAAUAGCAGUUUCGGCUUUUAGUUUUUAUGCUUUUUGCUCCAUAUGUUUUGGGCUUAGACGAAAGUGUUUUGGGCUUCAAAUCAUACCUAAAAAUGGUAUUGGGCCACUAAGAACAAACUCUAACAGGAUUUAAUAGUAACCUAAAUAAAGCGUAUGAUAUUAUAAUUAGCAUGCUUAUAAUUUUUUUUUUAAUGAAAAUGCAGUGUGUUUAAUGAAUGUUUCGAAUGGAACUAUCUUUGCACUCAUACUAACCUCCUUAAUAAUCACUAAUCAACCAAAUUAAAAGUCAUCUUGUACUCAAGUUGGAAGGGGUAAGACUAAAGAAAAAAAGGAAAUUUACAAAAUACAAAGAACACAAUAUUAAAAGGCAGAAACAAAAAGAUUUCGCAAGAUUGCAAGAGCAACUAUAAACCAACCUCCAAUUUGUCGCUUUUCAUCACAAAUAUGACAAGCUACAUAUAUGAUUUGAUGGAACAAACAUUAAAUUACAAGAAAAAGGCAAUAUCUUAAACUAGGGAACAAAACUUGAAACAUGAUAUAGUUACUAGUUGGUGUAGGUAAAAAAACCUCCAUAGUAAACACUUAGAAACACAAAUUGAAUCGCUCUAUCCCUCUGGUAUAUACCAACUCAGUUGAGCCUCCUCCGCCGUGGGGCGCGAGAAUCUCCGCUAUCGACAUCGGAUAUUCUAGAAGCAUCGUUCCUCCUCCUUGAAGAGGAAGUAGAGAGCGCGACUGUGGAAUCGAUUUCUAUGGCAUUAUCCAUGGUUUGGCUCUCAGAGUGUAUGACAGCAGCAAUGCUGGACACAGAAUCCCUAUCAUCCACCACCGGUGGCGGCAGCUCUGGAUUCCUCUCCACCGGAUUGCUCUGGAAAUACGACUCAACGGCAGCAAGAGACUCGGCUGAGUUGAUUGCAGAAGUGAGGUUGGACAGCGAAGCAGCUCGAUGGGAGCUUGAUCUGCGAAGCAGCAGUGAUGUGAGACGACGAGUAUCCCUCUCCCUAUCCCUCUCAUAGUUUGGAGGGCUGCUCUCAGUUAGGUCAAUCACAUCAUCAAGUGGGAGCGUCGGAGUUCUCUCUCUGCGCAUCCCUCUAGAGGUCAAGAACCGGUUCAGUAAAGCCGUGCUUCUCUCUGGUGAGUCGCGGAGGCCAUCAGGGUGUCGGGAGUGUAUCUGAGCCAGCUCCCGGUUUAAGUCAAAGGCACUCCCGAGGCGCCUGAUCAUCUCCUCUACCGGAAUAGUGAAGGCGGUUGCAGUCCUCUGUAUAGUCUGCCUCCAGCUCUCAAUCCGCCGGGCGUGGGGCCUAAGAGGGAUCUUGAGGCUAGAAUCAAGAUCAUGGUCGCGAACAACAUUGCCACGGCCAUAUAUAGGUGUCACGUUUUUAGUGGUGACCUCUCCCUUGCACACAGGGCAUUCCUUGGCAUCAGAAUGGUGGUGCAACCAACGGUAGAGACACGGCCAGCAAAACAAGUGGCCGCAGCAAGUGACAACGGGAUCCUUGGCCAAAUCCAAGCAUAUGUUGCAAUCAAAGAAACUCCCCUCAUCACCACUGCUCUUACCACCAUCUUUCCUCUUGCCAAGAUCCUCGUCCUCCACAGAACCAGUCGCGUUCUCACAUAUCUUAGCUACCUCAAUAGGCCUCUCCUCGGACGCUACACUACCCUCACCAGUCUGACUCUCUGGUGCACUCCCACCAAUCAAUUCCAAAGCAAGGCUCCUAGUUUCCGGGGGAAUCGGGAGCUGCCUCCACAAUGACCGCCACCUAUGAUUUCUCUGCCUAACAGCUUCCCUAACACGAUGAACUGGACCGUCUAACCAAUCCUCCAAGUUCAUUGCAACGUUAGGAUAUGAUCCCAACGGAGGCUCACCCUCACCACCAUCACUAGAAUUAUCAACCGGCCCCAAAUUCAGAUCCAGGUUCAUUGUAUUAGCAUUCUCUUCCGCCAUUGUAAUUCACCAAAACAACAAAAAUUCUCCACGGAAUAACCCCAAAUUCAGACACCCAACUCCUCAAACUAAUGACAAGAAAGAAUUGCCCCAAUCUAUUGAAACCCUAACUUCAGCCAUGAACACAAAUACAUCGAGCCUCGAUAUCCAAUACCCACUAAUCAAACUGGCUCAUUAAACAGUUAAAAAAUCAAAACCCCAACUUCUAUUGCGAAAAAUGCUUAAAAGAAUCAAAAUUGAUUUUCCGGUCAGCAGAUGAAAGGGGGGGUAAUAACCUAGCUUAUCAAGGUCAACCAAAUCAUAAAACCCAGUGAAAAGGGGCAAAAGAAAACAAGCUACAGAGAUUGUAACCGACGGAAAAAUCUCCUUAAAACAAAAGAUUUAAUAGUAUAAAUUGACACUACAAACCUGCAAACAAAUUACGGGUUCCAUUUUCUGGAGGUAAACACCGUAAAGAUGCAGACUUUAUGCGGCAAACACAGGAAUUAAGAAAAAUUUAUGGAUCUGGGUUGUAUUAAUUUUGGGGGUUUGGGAGGGAUGAGAUGAAUUGUGUGAAUUUUGUUCAGCUCAGAACGAAGCUGGAGAGAGGCAGAGAGGAGAGAGGGGGAAAGAAAUAUUCUCUGCAAGUAGUAAUUCUGGUGUAGCUGUACAGCAGUGCGUGUGGGACCGCCUUAGCACCACGUCAGCAUUUAAUGUAAUGGGCUGAAUACUGGGCCAAUAUUUUUGAAGGAAAUAUUGGACAAGUUAAGCUUAGUAGAAAACCAAAGUUUCGACAUUCUAUUACGGUGUUGUUUUAAAUAUUUCUAUAUUUAGCUUGCAUAUUGAAAUUCUUAAUUGAACAGAUUCAAGGUCAAAGAGACAAAUGAACAAUGAAGCACAAAAACACUUAGUUCAUCUUCAUUGAAAACUUUAAGUUCACAAAGAUAGCAUUGAGAAGAACAAAAAUAUAAAGAUGAUGCACCUGCCUCAUCUUCAUUGAAACCUUCGAAUAGGUAACAAAUACCAACAAGUUUGUAGACUUUUAAGAACAAAAAAAAAUGAAGAUGACUUAUUUGAUUUUUAUUUUAAAAAUACUGCAAAUGACAGCUUAAUUUGUUGGAGCAUUUGAUCUUUGUUGACUAGAUCCAGCAUUAGUUUUAAUCCUUGUCCACGCUACAUGGGCUUCACUUGAUCCCGGUGUAUUAUAUAGUACAUCUUAAAUUUUAGUCCCCUUCUUUGCAAUGUUUCUUACCCUCAAGAUUUGGUCUGAACUUCUGUCUCCACCUCUUCCACUUCUACAACUACCUCUUCCAAUCCUGCCACCAUUUUCCCCCCUUGAACCACAUCUUCCCCUUGAAGAACUUGUUGAUGUGUUUGGCAUAUCUUUAUGUGGUGCUUUACUAGGUCGCUCAACCUUCCUUGAAUCCAACAAUUACCAAGAGACUUAGUUGUUAGGCCAAGUAUAAAAAAAAAAGUUAAAAAUAGUAUCAAUAAAAUCAUAAUGAAUUGAAGCAUACAUUUGAUUUAGGUAGUAUUUCAAUAGUUAAAAUUCUGGUAAUUUCUCCAAUUGUGGCCUGCAUCUCCACACUUCUUACAAUUCAUCACCAUCCCACCCCUUGACAGGGUUUCUGGGUUCCUUUUCACUAGCAGACCUCAAUUUUNUUUUUACUUAAACUUACCGGGAAGUCUACUUGCCUCAGGUUUCACUUUAAAUCCAUCAACUUGUGGUCACAUCUUCUAUCCUCUUCUUAGUUGCAAACCAUGUUCAUAUGUAAUUUCUCCACAAUGUAGUAUUCAUGCACAUAUUCUAGUGGAUAUGUCCCCAUAAUGUGAAUUGUAGAAACUGCAUGCAAACAAGGUUUACCUAUAAUACCUCACUUUCUACAUGAACAGGUUCUAAGCCCUAUAUUAACCACAAUCUUUUCUUGAAAAUGUGACACUUCAAACUUAUUAUACAAAUUUGGUUUAGGGAUGCAUUCCCCACCUUUCUUCCUUUAUUUUUCCAACUUCUUAAUUUCUAAUGUUUGCGCAAAUCCUAUAUGUCACUUUCAUCAUAUCAUCUCUCUUUUUGAUAUGUCUCACCAUCAAAUAAGACCUAAUCUCCUCACACAUAUGCAUAACAUGUGACCCUCUCGCAUUCAAUAUAUGUAUAUUAAAUGUUUCAUAAAUGAUGUUAAUUAUAUCACUUUUGACAAAGGUUGAAAUAAAAGCCUUGUGUAUGGCUCUACUGAUGAAGUCUUGAUAUGUUGCCUUUAGGGGGUGCGCAGAAACCCAACCGCAACGAAAAAAUCGACUGAACCGUAGCUUUUUGGUUCGGUGCGGUUCUACAUAUAUUGGUACGGUUUGCGGUUUGGUUUCUGAUAUGAAGAACCGACAAAAAUCAGUUCGAUUUCAAUUUUUUCAAUUUUUUUCGAUUGCGCACCGGACCGAACCGAUAUAUAUAUAUAUAUAUAUAUAUAUAUAUAUAUAUAUAAAAUAUAUUAUUUAUUUAAUAUAUAUAAUAUGUUUAACAUAGUGAAAUUUGAAAACUCCACAACCCUAAAGUAAACCCGCCCUUGCACUUCAUUCUGAAAUCUCAAAUUUGAAUCACUUUCACUCUUCACUCUUCAGUCACCCACCGGCGCCCCCCUCUCUCUCCUCCCUCGGCCGCUCGGCGACUAGCAGUAGGUCGCGUACCCACCGCGCUAGCCCGCACGACGCAGUAGCAGCAGCAGACAGCCACCUUCGCGACUCCGCCCCCGGCUCCGCAACCCUAGCGGAUCGCCGCUACCUUACCCCGGAGCCACCUCCCCCACCAGUGACUAGCAGCAGGCCACCUUCCCUUAUUUUACCCCACGAUUUUAUUCUUAUUUUUUAAAGAUGAUUAGAGAUGAUAUGAAUAUGAUUUUAGAUCUGAAAGUUAGGUAUAUUUAGGGGUAAAAGGUCGACUUUCAUUCUGUUCUUGUAAGAAACAAAAUUUGUAUGAUUUUAGUUGGAUGAAUUCAGGGGUUCAGAUUGUUUUCCAAUAAUUUUUUCUCGAUUUAGUUGGAUGAAUUUUUGGAGUUUAGCAAGACUUUGAAUAUAGGGGUUCAGACUGAAUUUAGUGAUAAAAUUUGUUUUUUUUUUGUUUUUUUUUUCGGAAAAAAAAAGAAGAUGAAACAGGCGGUUCGGUUCGGUUUUGAACCGAAACCGAUCGAUUUUGGCCGGUUCGAUUUUGAUCGAUUUGUAGCAUUUUAGCGGUUCAGUUUGGUUCGAAUUCUUAAGAGGUCGGUUCGGUUCGGUUUUGAACUGAUGCACACCCCUACCUAUACCUUCCACUAGAACUACGCUUGUAGUGUGUAGUAGGGAAACUUAUAAAUUUAUUUGUGUGAAGAGAUAAAUGACGCUCAUUGCCACAUAAAACUACAACAAAAGUGACUCACUUUGUUCACUCACAAUACACUCAUCUAAUAUUUACUAAAACUUGUGGCGGAGCUUGGUGUGCGCAUUAUUUCAUGGUGGAUGGAGUAUAUUGUUUGGUAGGAAAAAUUAUUUUUAAAAAUUGUGUGACAUUAAAUUCGAACCUGAGAAUCUUUGGCCUUAAGCAUGAAUUAUUUUGUCACUAGGUCAACACACACAAAUUAAUAGCAAAUUUUGUUAAACUAUUUUGUCAUAUUAAGGUGUGUUCACUUUAAUAGAAAAAAUUGAGUAGCAUUUUCCCUCCUUUGAAUUUUAGUUGAUUAUGAUAUUAUCAUAAAAUAAAUAAUAUUUUCACACACUUUCCUCAGAAAAUAUGAGAUACAAAGAAAAUAAUACUAAUAAAAUUAAAAUAAUUUUUUCUUCACCCAUUUUCUUAUAAUAAAUAUACCUUACCCAAAUAAUUUAUACAUAAAUAGAGUCUACAUUUUAGUAUUCUUGCACAGAAGGAAUUAAAGAUGUGGUUGGGAUUUUUUAAAACAGCGAAGGAAAAGAAAAAUGAAAGAAAAGAAGAGAUGAUAAUAAAGGUCCUAUGAAAGAAGCGAAAUCCGCGACAUGGCGGAUGAGCUUGUGCAAGCCACACUACUUCCCACACCCACACCCUUGUCCCUUUCAUCCAACUCUGCCUCUCCACCACCCCCUAAAUUUGUAACUUACAAUUUUACUGUAGACUCUUCUCGACGAGUACAACAACAACAAAACGAUGCCCAUAUUCAGUUGAACAACUAAAAUUCAACAUCAAUCUAAAAACCAACUAUUCUAUAUUUUUUAAAUUCUGCAACAUAUUUAUAGACUAAUAAUGUCUAUCUAAUUUCCAGAAUAUAACAUACUUUUGGUAUUCAUACAGAGACACGCCUAAUUAAUUUAUUUUGUUUUCAAAUUUAUAUAGAGCGAACUCAUUUUUCUGGUACAAGAUAUAUAAUCUCGUUGCUACAAUAAAAAUAAUGUCAAUGAUUUUUUUAUAAAUUUCCACGUCAAUUAGAAAUGGCCGCAGGUCCACGCAAAAUCGAAGCAUAGAGAAAUGUGAUCUAUUUUCGUAAAAAUAGAUAAAUUUAGAUGUAGGUAAGCUAAUUUUGAGAAUGCAAAAAAAGAAAAAAAGGAAAAGAAGAGAUAAUGAAAAUGAUAAAACGUACCACAGAAAGGCGCCACGUAGCGGAUGAGCCCUAACCAAACCCACAGACCACACACACUAUUUCUACAAAGCCUCUAUCCUUUUAAUUUCAGGAGAUCACAGAUUUCCUUUUCAUUUGUAUUUCUAAUUCCCCCACACACACUCCCUCUCUCUCUCUAACCUCUGAGCAAUGGCGAGCCUCGCAAGCACAAUGUUCAGCGCCGCCGUGGUCCCCCGCAAGCCGGCGAUGGGCACGACGAGCCUCCGGUCCCUCCCGAACCUGAAGCAGGCGGCUCUCUUCGGGCUGAAAUCCGGCGGGCGCAGGGGCGGAGCGACGUGCAUGGCGACGUACAAGGUGAAGCUGCUAACUCCGGAGGGAGAGGUGGAGUUCGAUUGCGCCGACGACGUGUACAUCGUGGACCAGGCGGAGGAGGCCGGGAUAGAUCUGCCCUACUCGUGCCGCGCGGGGUCGUGCUCCUCGUGCGCCGGCAAGGUCGUCAGCGGCAGCGUCGACCAGUCCGACGGCAGCUUCCUCGACGACGAGCAGAUGGACUCCGGCUGGGUGCUCACCUGCGUCGCCUACCCAACCUCCGACGUCGUCAUCGAGACUCACAAGGAGGAGGAGAUCGCCUAAUUCAUCAUUUCAUUUCUCUCUCUCUCUCUCUCUCACAUGAGUCACGGACUGAUUUCAUAAUAAGUAAGAUACAAUUUGUUUUGUUGUAUAAUUUUGAUUUAAACGUCUUUGCAACUCCACUUGUUUCUCAUAUAUGUCUUCUCUCUCUCUUCUUUUCGUGUCUAUUUCUUUACUGUUAGCUGACGAUGUUUAGUUCUAAAGAUAUCCAUCCGUCUCAAGUUGUUAAAUUAUCUUCAUGGAUUCAUGGCGUUCAACUUCGCUUUAAAUCUUAAUUAAGAUCUAUAUUGUUUCAUAUUUUUAUAUGCUGCGUAUAUACUUUUGAUGAAAAUGGUGAAAAACAGAUUUUCACUCUUUUCAAAUAUUGUGUGGAGUGGAUAAUUUUAAUCGGUUAGCUAGCUUGAAAUCUCUUUUUCCUCCCUUUUCACGAUAAUAUUGUUAGGGGUGUUUACUUCGCAUGAUUGAUAAUAUGAAUAAUUGAGUAUUUUUUUAUAGGAUUACUUCAAUUCUACCCUUUUGAUGGGAUGCAAAAUUAGUUUACAUGAUAAAAAUAAUUAAAAGUAUAGGAAUAUGCUAAGUGAUUAGCAUUACUAUUUUUACCUGUCAAAUUCAAAGCUAAUCCUUCAAAGUAAACGCUCCCUUAUAGGAUAAAAUUUGUCCAUCUUUUAUAUUCUUUCUCUUUUACGAUAAAUUUAUAAUUAAAGAAAAUACAUGCAUAAGAUUUUUGCAUAUGAACGGAUAGAAUGGGUGGGGUUAAAAUAAAAAUCUUCUCAUUAUAAGAACGAAAAUAGUUGCAUGGAUAUGCACUACGAUUAUGCACAAAAAUAUAGUAGUAUUAUAAAUAGUUGCACGCCAAAUUCUAGAGAAAAUCAAGAGACCUUAUGUUUCAGAUUCCCAGUUUCUUUUUCUUUUAAAAAAAUGGAAAUAGUAAAUUCAGUAUUCGAAUUUCAAAAGGAUUUGAUUCGUUUUGAUUAAUUCCAUUAGCAUCUUACUAUUACCAUUUUCAGAUAGUUGUGUUUUCUGCAUUAAAUCUGGUGCAUCUUAAGAGCUGUUUUCAAAGGCAACCAUUGGUGAUACCUAAACAUUCAACAUCUCAAUGUAGUUCAAACAUUCAAAUUAUUGAGUACAAACUCAAAGUUAUCCAAUCCAUUCAAGCAUGUAUCAAACUAACCCAUAUUAGUAUUUUUUAUUUAUACAAACUAUUUUCUAAAGUUAGCAUCCUCUUGUGCGGUGCCCACGAAGAUCAAAGUUUACAACUACCACACAUCGACACGACAAAAUUCUAGAUAUGUUUUGGACCACGGGACCAUAGGAAAAGGUGUAUAUAAUGCAAAUUUAAAAAAUUAAAAAUCAUUAAUUUUCUUUUCAUAAAUACAUAAAGAAAAUUGAGGAGAAGAGCAACCGGAAAAGUUGUAACAAACAACGAGAAAGCAUAGAAAAUUCAAGCACAAGAGAGACAAAUUAUAUAUUACAGACAGAAAUGUUACAACACAGCGAAUUUGUCCAUGAAAACCUUCAGUUGCCCAGAAACAUAAAAAUGAUAGGAAGAAAAUAAAUCAUAAUCCACCAUUUGGUUAACUAAGUUACCUUCCUAUCGUCACAAUUGUCUUGCAGCUUAAGUGAAAGUUAAUGAUAAUCAUGGUUUUGCCCCAUUAAUAGUCGGAGCAACACCUCUGGUUGUCUUCACGUAGGCAACAUACUCGCUGUACUGCAUGGUAAAUAGCGUGCUUUGGUAACGGGUAAGCUGGAUGCGCUUUCGCAGUUGCCCGGUGAGGGUCCCACUAUAACCCGCCUUUCUCAUCAAUGAAUCAAUUGCUUCGACCUUUGUCCAGCCUUGCAUGAUAAGCGAAAUGAAAUAUCAGAAACUGAAAGCAGAGGAAUUCGGAAAUCAAUCUAUAGCCAAAUCUGUCCGUGUCAAUCCAGUAAACGAGAAUAAGCAAUGCAAAUUACCUUCAUGAGCAGCAACCUCGGGCAAGUAGGUGGCACUUCGCCUUGUAUUGUAGUCGGGAUCAGUAAAUUCAAUAAUUAUUCCGUGCUUCCCAACCUGGAUAAACACAAAUUUGAUAGAACUAGACAUCAGGUCCAGAAUCAAGGAACUACUCUAUGUUGUUUAAUAUAUAUAUUUUUUUAAAUCAUCUAUUUUGCUUAAUAUUGAGCAAGCAAUUCACUGAUCGCAUUAAUGAGUUUCAGAAGUUAAUGAAGUACAUAGCCAUUAAAAGGGGGAAAUUGCGACUAAAAUGCCACUUAAAAUAUAGGUCCUUCCAAAUGAACAAUAAGGAUUAGUUCUGGUUUGCAAGCAAACAGGUGACUCGAUUACCCAGUGGGCAAACACAUAUUUAGUAACAGUCAAAUGUUCAUUAUAGCACUGACCUCCCAGUCAAGGUAGUCACGAGCAGUUUCAUAAUUAGUCAGAAUGGAAACUGUACAUUCUAAGGAAGGCAGUUCUUUAGCUUGUAUUGGGGGAAAUCGCCGAUCCCUGAGGGCACUGAAAUAUAGAGAACAAGAAAUCAGAAAACAAUGCUCUCCAAGAUUUUCAGGACUAAAAUUAAAUGUCAAAUGAAGUACAAUUCAUCAAUUUCAACAUAAAAAAAUUAGAUACAAGCCACAUAAAUAGUCAAGAUGUCAAUGUGACGUACCAAAAAAAUUGUAACACGAAAACAUGAGAUGCAAAUUUACGUUCAAAUAAUAUUUUCAAGAGAAUAACGGCCAUAUAACAUAGAGGAGUUUAGAAGUUACUUAGAUUAAUGUAUGUAAUAGAGCUAAAGAGUAACAAAGAAAAGAGCCAAGAAAAAAUCACAACCUAAAUACAGAAAGGAACAUACAAUCCCAUACAAAGUGCAUAACAAAAUCAUCAAACACAAAGAUUGUUCAUAAAAGACAACUCAGAUGCCUGAGUAAUAAAGAGCACAUGGCAUACUCUUGGUACUUGAAGUUGAAAUAUUGUUUUAAGUACCUUGUCAAAGCAUAGUCCCUGAAACCAUUAACUAUGCAGCGAGCUUCCAAAGUCCCUAUGCAUCCACGUAAACGAGGUUCCCCACCAUUGAUCACUUUCUUCCAGGUCACGAACAGUGGACUGAAACAGAGUUUAAUGUGUACAAAGCAUAAACUAUACAUCGAAAAUUUCUUGUUCUACCAUAAUCUUACUAAGCCAGUCAGUUGAAAGCACUAAACAUUCUUUUAGUGACUAAAACAAAAAAUCAAAAGACUCAAAGAAAAUAAAUGAGUAAUACACUAAUACCCCAACAUACUUUUGAAAUCAUUAGCUAGCUAUUCUCGAUUGAUCUUCGUCCCAGGAAAAAAUAGGCUGACAACAUAUUAACCCAAAAAAAAGGAAAAAUAAAAGAAAACGGAUAAUAGUAAGAAUCAUUGCCCCUGCAAAGCACCUGCAUCAGUACUCAAAGAAAGUCUCAACACUAGCACAAAAUCAACAAAUUUAUCAAUGGAAACUUUGUAAUUCCAAAAUAACAUACAGUUGCAUAUAUAAACAGGAGUGAUUAAUAAAAAAACCCAAUCCAGUUUAGAGUCAAACUCAUCACAACUCAGAUGGACAAUAAAAUAUAAGCUCAAAUUAAGCGAAAACGAUUCCAGAUGCACAUGAAAACGCAUAAUCACGUAUAAUACACACACACACGCCAAAAAUUACGAAAUUAAGGAGACAAAUUAAGAUGAAAUCCGUACUGUUGGCCCUCAUCGAAGGCGGGAGGAGGAGCCUCCUCAUUGUUGUAGUGCGCCACCAGUGUGUCGAAGCAGUACGCCACCAUCUCCCUAUUUGCCGACACCAUUCUGUUAAAUUUUAAAGCAAAAUUCGUGUAACAACAGCAAAAAAAUUAGAGAUUGAAUUUGAUCGGUGGGAUUACGAUCGAAAACCGAAUUGGGGGUUAGAAAUUAGAGAGAAGAAUCGAAAGAUGAAAGUUUUAGGGUGUCGAAAUUGGAGAUGGAUGGAGUGAGGGACUCUCUUUCUGCCUUUUGACGCUUUUCCGGGAAUAAUUGAGCUUUUGUGAAAGUAACUAUCUUAUAUGAAUCGAAUAGGAUUGAGAGACGCAUAAUUGUUUCCACUAUUAUAUUUAUUGUUUUUUAUAAAUAUAUUCAAUCUUAUUGGAUAAAUGAGUAUUACUUUUCGACUCAUUGUUUCGUCAACAAUAUAUUCGCAUCACCAUUUUGAAGAAGAAAAUAUAAUAUUUAGUUAUUAAUUAAAAAAUAUAUAAAAUUUGAUAAUUUUUUUAUAUUUUAGAACUAUUUUGCCCUUAACUAAGACAGACCAAAUUCGGGUCGGAUUCAUAUUUGCGCGCAGAUUAGGCACACAUGAUACUAUUAGUGUCAUUAAUGUCAUAUACUCAGUGCUGCACGAAUGGUACUUAUUGUCAUAUUAGUAACAUUAGUGUCAUACGAAUGAUACUUAUGGCCAUAUUAGUGUCAUUAGUAAUAUAUAUUCGUGUGUUAAUAUUAUUUAGAUGAGUAUAGUUAUAUGAUCAUUUUGAACACUUCCCCGUAGAGUUUAGAUUCCCCAUUUAGGGUUUAAUUUUUCCAUUUAGUGCGAUGCACGAAUGGUACUUAUGGUCAUAUUAGUUCCAUUAGUGCCAUAUACUCCCUUAUGUAGUAUUGCACGAAUGGUACUUAUGGUCAUAUUAGUGCCACUAGUGCCAUAUACUUAGUUUUUUUUUCGGUGCCAUAUGUGCCUAACCCGUGUGUAAAUCUGAAUUCUACCCGAAUUCGAUCCACCCUAAUUAAGGGCAAAACAAUCUUUACACGUAAUAAAUAAUUAGAUUUUGUGUUUUUUCAAUUAGUAAUUAACCAAAUAUUGUGUUUCCUUCUUCAAAAUGUCUAUUUCAAAAGCGCUAUCUUUUGUAAAACUAUUUCAAUCUAAGGAUAAUUAUAAGAUAUUACUAAUCAUAGUAUUUCUUUUUUAUUUGUGGACCGCAAAAAUAUUUUACGACUGAAGUUUAAAGUGUUUCAGCGAUCAUCACCUUAUCAAUACGCGUGGACUAUUUAGAUGAAGUGAUCAUUUCAUUAGAAAAAAAUCACAUAAUGAAACACUCAAAAGAAAUUGUAAAUCAUAAACACAUUACGUGAAUAGCAGAGGUGAGCACACCAGAAAACCUCAUCUGCAAAUAACCCUAAAAAAACUUGGAAAUUUAUAAUUGUUCGAAAUCUGGGAGAAAUUUGAAUUAUUGGAAAGUUCUCGAUUUAAGGUUUAUGUGGUCGAGAGGAUUUGGCUGAUCCUAAAUUGUUUGUGACACCGAUUCUGCUUUUGUGAAGAAGAGUGAUGGCUGAUAGUGAUGACGACUCGGUGUAUUCAAAAUUAAGAUAAUAUUGUAUUCAUAAAGCAUGUUAUUUGGUGAGAUCAUUAUUCCCCAUGAUUCGAGUAGGAGGUUUUGGAGAUGCUCUCUUAGAGAUACGGUUUGUAUUAUUAUUUUUUAUGUCUUUUCUUUGAUAAUUCAAUAAUUUGUCGAAAAUAAAAUAAUGUCUUGUGAUUAGCAAGGUGGUUGCGGCUACUUUCAGUUGGCAGAUUCUCCGUUUGAGGGAAGAGCAAAGGUGGCGCUCCUUGAUUGCAUAUGAAAAAGCCAUAGAUUAGUGGGGAAAAAUCUGUCGAAAAAAUUGGAGAAUUAAGGGACGAGUUAGAGGCGAAGAUUAAAAAAUAUCGAGUGAAGAACAAGUCAUUACGGCAAGUGGUGAAAAAGACGAAGUCUAGAUUUUACACAAUGUAUUUAAUUUGUAUAGUACAAGUCAUUAAAGCAAGUGGUGAAAAAUAUCGAGUAGAGUUUGCAUCGUCUAGCUUAAUCAAGUUGAUGUUUCCUAUUAUGAACAAUCCAUGCAUGAUUUUCUUGGUAUGAAUCCUAAUAUUCUUAACUUGGUUUCCUAAUAUUUAUCAAAAGCCCAUAGAUUUUAUUAAAUGUUUCUAUAUUCUUUUCAUUAUUCAGUACAUGUUUGAAUAAGAUUGCAAAUUUUGUAAUGCGGGCAAUUAGGAUUACAAACUGAAAGAAUAGAUGAACUCCAAUUAUAGCAUUAAGUGCAUCUCCAACGGGGUGUGAGAGCUCGGCUCGAGUCAUCGCACUGGCAAACCCCAGGCUUGAGGUCCAGCUCCAACGAUCGCACCCAGCUCUACGACCAUUGUGUACGGUGAGUGCUUGCAUAAGCCUUUAAUUAAAAAAAAUCAAAAAUCAAUUUAAAAUUUUGAAACUUUGAAUUUUUUAAUUUUUUUUAGAAAAAAUCAAAGUGUUCGCAACGGCCUUCUUCCAACUUCCUAAAAACUUCCUAAAAAGUGAGAGAGAUAGAUGAAGGGUACAAUUGAUACAAAAUUGAUAGUUCAAGGUUUAAAAAAUUAUUUUCAAUAGUUAAGGAUAUAAUUGAUAGUUGGAAAAUAGUUUGAGGUUUAAAGUGAUAUUUACUCGAUUUAUAUCUUCAUAAACAUGUUUCUUUAUCAUAUGAUAUGGGUUAUAAUAUUUUCAGAUUACGAUUGAGAGUUAUAUGUGGUUAUUUUUUUAGAUUUACUUAAAUGAAACUAUUAAUUUAUUAUAAAUUUAAUUUAAUUUAGAGGUUAUGAAGUAUAGGGUAAAAUAAUAAAUUUUUAAUUAUUAUUUUAGACAGAAGACUGUAAAGAGUAAAAUGGUGGUUAUGCAUCCCCUAAAAGAGGAUCUUGGGCUGAAAUGGACUGGGCCCAUAUAAGGAUUAGGCCAUGCCAUUGAAUAAAGUUGAGACCAAUUCGUUUUUACUCUAUACUACUCCCUCCGUCCGCCAAAAAAUCCCACAAUUACUAUAUUUGGCGUCCGUAAAAAGUAUUCUAUAAUUACUAUAUUUAGCGUCCGCAAAAAGUAUUCCACUUUCCUUUUUAAGUCAUGGUCCCACCAUCCACCUUUAUAUUUUAUCCUUACAAACACUCUUUAUUUACAAAAAAUUCACCCCAAAUUCAAUCUUAACCACACAUCUCAUAAAGUGGUGGGACAUUUAUACCACUACAUCAACAUCAUCUCCAAUUUUAUUAAACUCUGUGCCCAGCCAAAGUGGAAUACUUUUGGCGGACGGAGGGAGUAUAUUAAAAAACUAAUAUUUUAAUUUGAAAUCAAUUUCAUAUUGAUUUUAUUAAUAUUCAACUCAUAUAUUUAAAUAUUUAAUAUGUUUUUCAGUUAGUAUCAAGUUUUAUUAUUGUGAAUUCUUCUUUAUUUUUUUAAUAUUCAACUCAUAUAUAUAUAUUCAGUUAAAAUUAAUUACUAUUAUAUUUAUAAAUAUGAUAAUUGAGUUGGUAUCAAUUUCAUAUAAAUAUAAAAAAAUAUAAAAAUGUUUCUUGUACAUUGGCACGAUUGCAAAUGAUAGUUUUGUUUAGAGCAUCUCCAACGCGGUGUUGAAGACCCGCGUCGAUCUGGGGCGAUGGAAGAAGCGCCGCAUUGGAGACCUCGGCUGGGUCGAAGCCGGGGCGAAGGCUUUGGUUGAGAGAUUCGUGCGCUACACGCACACGGUUUAAAUAAAAAAAAUGAAACAAACAUGGAGAAGAAACGAAACUUGAGAGAGAGGAAAAAAUUUGGGCUGGAAAUCAGUUGCAGAGAGAGGGAAAAUUUUGGAGAAGACGAUGGGGGAAGAAAAGGGUAGGUGGGUAGGUGUUUGACUUUUGAAAAAAAUAUUUUUAAUAUGUUUUAUUUUAUUUAUUAUUUUUGUUUUUUGAGUUUGAUUUGAUUUUUUAUUUUGAUUUUUUAUUUUUUAAAAUUUUAAAAUUCUAAUUUUUUUAUCAUAAUUUUUAUUUUUUAUUGUAUUUUAAUUAUGUCUUUAAUUUUAUUUUAAUUAUUGAAUUUUAAUUUUAAUGAAAUUUGGAAUUUAAAAAUAAAAGUAUAGAAAUGUGAAUUUUUGGGAAAUGGGGAUUUAAGACCCACUCUAAGUGGUCGUUUGGUUCGAGUAGAGGAAUGAAAGGGAAUGAAAUCAAAUAAAGGGGUGAAAUGGAAACAAUAAGCAUUACUUUUAUUGAGUGUUUGAUUUAACAAUGAAAAGAAAUCAUUAGUAAGGGAUUCUCUUUAUUUUGUUUCCCCUCUAUUUUGAGGGGUAACAAAUCAGGUGAUUGGAUUACCCGGCCCUAAGUAAGGGUAAUGGUUACCUUAUUAUCCAAACCAAACAAUGGGUAAUGGAUUCAAUUGAUUGAUUCAUUUUUAACCUCCAAAAACACUCAACCAAACAUGGGCUAAGACACAAUGCAUUGAAAAUGGGUGGGUCUUAGGUGGGGCCACCCCUUCUAAGACCCAAUGUAUUGGAGAUGCUCUUAUAUGAUAAUCAGGAUUUAAAUAAAUCUCAAUUAGGACUUAGGAGUUAUUAACUCUAAUUAAAACUCUAAGUUAACUGGAACUAUCAUUAAAGACGGUCACAGAAGUUUUUGUCAUUCAUUUUACAUUCAAAAGAUCUGAGCCAAUCCAACCCAAUUUGACGAUCGUUUUAUAAUAAUAUUCUAUAUUCUAUAAUAAUAUUUUGGAUGUUUCAAUCCAAUUUGACUAUCGUAUUAUAACAGUAUAUUCUAUAAUAAAUUUUUGGAUGUUCCAAAUGCCAAUCCAUCCCCACCCAACGCAACCCUCGAUUUAUAAUGUAUUCUAUCUUCUAAAAGAACCCUCGUUUUAUAAUGUGUUCUCUAAUUUUUUUUAUUUUUCAUUUUUAAUAAUAAUCCAUUGAGCUUGCGCGGCAUGUUAUAAUACAGACAUAAUAGCUGAAAUAUUAUUUGAAGUAUAGAAGUUGUUUCUGUACAUUUAGAUGAAGACAGUUUUGAGAAUUUGUUGUUUAUGUACAUUUGUUUCUGUACAUCUGUUGUUUCUGAAGAAGUUGUUUCUGUACAUCAAUUCAUUUGUAAAAAUUUGAGAAGGCAGAGAAUCACAUCAGGUGAGAUUCAACAAUUUGUUCAACUCAUGCCUUUGUGCUUGUGAUGAAAUAACUGCGUUGAAUCUUGAAUUAAAUGAUUUUGUAGAUACUGCUUUUUUGCUUUAUGACUUGGCCAGUUAAAUUUAGUAGGGGUAAUUGCCUGUAAAUUCAUAACGUUUACUCGGAAUUGGUUUUUGCUCCCAUUUUCGAAGGUGUGGCCCCUAAAUACAUAACCUUUUAUUUUGUCUCGUUUUUAUCCUAUCACCGGUUUUUUCUUACGCCGGCGCCGGAAAUUACACCGUGGCAGCCGGAAUUGACAAGGUGGCAGCCGGAAAUUGACACAUGGACAUAUUAUUAACAUGUGGAAUAAAAAAAUAAAAUAAAUAAAUAAAAACAAAAUCCCCCCCACCCCAUCGUCUUCUUCCCCCUUUCUCCUUCCCCCCACCUGCCGCUUCCACCACACGCCGACGAAGACGUGCCCGGCCGAGGACGCCACCCCUUUCGUCCGUUCACCUCUCUCGCGAGCUCCGUUCACGAACGAUAUUUUUUAGUAGCAUAGCAGGCGAAAGGGUAGUUCAUAGGCGAAGGAUACUUCGCUGUCAAUUUGUGAAAAUCAGUAGAGAGGGAGGCGGCUGCUCCCCACCGGAACUCCAGCGGCGGCGGAAGACGUUACCUGAGAAUGAGGGGUGUGUGAGACGAGGGUGGNNNNNNNNNNNNNNNNNNNNNNNNNNNNNNNNNNNNNNNNNNNNNNNNNNNNNNNNNNNNNNNNNNNNNNNNNNNNNNNNNNNNNNNNNNNNNNNNNNNNNNNNNNNNNNNNNNNNNNNNNNNNNNNNNNNNNNNNNNNNNNNNNNNNNNNNNNNNNNNNNNNNNNNNNNNNNNNNNNNNNNNNNNNNNNNNNNNNNNNNNNNNNNNNNNNNNNNNNNNNNNNNNNNNNNNNNNNNNNNNNNNNNNNNNNNNNNNNNNNNNNNNNNNNNNNNNNNNNNNNNNNNNNNNNNNNNNNNNNNNNNNNNNNNNNNNNNNNNNNNNNNNNNNNNNNNNNNNNNNNNNNNNNNNNNNNNNNNNNNNNNNNNNNNNNNNNNNNNNNNNNNNNNNNNNNNNNNNNNNNNNNNNNNNNNNNNNNNNNNNNNNNNNNNNNNNNNNNNNNNNNNNNNNNNNNNNNNNNNNNNNNNNNNNNNNNNNNNNNNNNNNNNNNNNNNNNNNNNNNNNNNNNNNNNNNNNNNNNNNNNNNNNNNNNNNNNNNNNNNNNNNNNNNNNNNNNNNNNNNNNNNNNNNNNNNNNNNNNNNNNNNNNNNNNNNNNNNNNNNNNNNNNNNNNNNNNNNNNNNNNNNNNNNNNNNNNNNNNNNNNNNNNNNNNNNNNNNNNNNNNNNNNNNNNNNNNNNNNNNNNNNNNNNNNNNNNNNNNNNNNNNNNNNNNNNNNNNNNNNNNNNNNNNNNNNNNNNNNNNNNNNNNNNNNNNNNNNNNNNNNNNNNNNNNNNNNNNNNNNNNNNNNNNNNNNNNNNNNNNNNNNNNNNNNNNNNNNNNNNNNNNNNNNNNNNNNNNNNNNNNNNNNNNNNNNNNNNNNNNNNNNNNNNNNNNNNNNNNNNNNNNNNNNNNNNNNNNNNNNNNNNNNNNNNNNNNNNNNNNNNNNNNNNNNNNNNNNNNNNNNNNNNNNNNNNNNNNNNNNNNNNNNNNNNNNNNNNNNNNNNNNNNNNNNNNNNNNNNNNNNNNNNNNNNNNNNNNNNNNNNNNNNNNNNNNNNNNNNNNNNNNNNNNNNNNNNNNNNNNNNNNNNNNNNNNNNNNNNNNNNNNNNNNNNNNNNNNNNNNNNNNNNNNNNNNNNNNNNNNNNNNNNNNNGAAGGCUGAAGCUUAUGGGUUAUGGCACAUAAUAAAGAAAUGAAGAUAAUUUUAACUGUAAAUAAUUUAAAUGGUGGUGGAUCUAAAAUAACUAGAUUUACAUUGAAGAAUUUCCAAAAUCAUAAUUUCUUUGUACUAAUAAAUCUAACAAAAUAUUAAACUAGUUUUGUAGAUCUAAAAAAAUGUUCGACUUAAUCGAUGGAUUCUACGGUAAGGCGAAAUAAGAAAAUCAAAAAUCAAAACUUUCAAAACACCCAAAUAGCCUGCCGCCUUACCUUUGUUGCGAACUUGGGCGUUGAAAACGGCUAGGUGAGGCCGGCGGCGCGCCGCAAUCGCGCACUGCAGCUGUUGAUCGAAGGAGAUGGGGCGGGGCGAGCCGGCGAGAGCUGGGCAGCGCACUGCAGUCUGCUGCUGUACUACCUGCUUGGCGCUUGCAGGUCGCAGCGCUUGGACAGAGAUGUAAGAGGCGGCGAGGCCGUGGCCACGGGAAAUCCGAGGAGGCGGGGGCGGCGGCGACCGGCGGACGGCAGAGAGAGACCGAGAAAGAGUAAAAACGGCGGGCGGAGUGAGAGAGAGCGAGCGGCUGAUAGACGGUAGUUAGAAGAAAAGACAAAAUCAGAAACCUAUUUCUAAUAGAGCCUCAAAUCAGAAUGGCCCUACUGGGCAUACAAAAUCAAAAUUUAGCCUCAAAUCUUAAAACAUAAAAUUUUGGCCAUUUUUUAGGUGGUAUGACUAACUUACCCUUCCAUCUCCAACCCAUCUCCAACCAAGUAACAGUACGUGUGAUCCAAGCUUCCCUCUCUCUCUCGCACCCUCUCUUUCGCGCUCUCUCUCUUCCGCGUCAACGAUGAACGGCAGAAAUCGGUCGUGAUUCCGGCGGCGUGCUUCCCUCCUCUCUUUCUCUUCCGCGUCGAUGAAGAGCAGAAAUCGAUCGCGAUUCUAAUUCCGGCGGCAUGCUUCCCUCCUUCCUCGGCGGCGGCGGUGGAUCUGAUCUGAUGAGGCGGCGACGGUGGAUCUGAUCUGAUCGUUGCGCCGCCUCCUCCACUCGGCAGAUUCGAUCUCCGCCUCCUUCGAUUUCAGCCAUCGACAGAUCUGAUCUGAUCUGAUCUGAUCUGUGCUGCACGUAUGGCACUUAUGGCACUAAUAGUGCCAUAAGUGCCAUAAGUGCACACUUCCCCCUAGGGUUUAGAUAUUCCAUUUAGGGUUUAGAUUAUUCAUUUGGGGUUUAGAUGUUCCAUUUAGGGUUUAGAUUAUCCAUUUAGGGUUUAGAUGUUCCAUUUAGGGUUUAAAUGAUGUUGUUGUUUCUGUAUUUGUGCUGAUGACCAUUUUACUUAGUUUUAUUUUGAAUUUCGUUGGCACUUAUGGCACUAAUAGUGCCAUAAGUGCCUAACCCGACCCGGCACGCGACCCGCGUGCCUGAUCCUACCCAGUCCGCCUCAUUAAGGGCAAAAACGUCCAAAUCAAUAAAAAUGACCAAAAUUUGUGUUUUUUCAAUGUGUGGCCAUAAAUUGUGUUUUAUGCUUCAUUUUGGCUACUUCAAAAUUUUACUCUUUCUAAUAUUCUAUCUUAUGAAAGUUAUAAGGUAUCGCAAAUUGUAUCUAAUUACUUGAUUAAAAAUAAUUUACUUUAAUGAUGUACAAAAAUUAUUUAUUUUAAUCAUUUAUAAACAUAAAUGAAGUCCAAAAUUAUUUAUACACUAUGUUUGCAAUUGAAUUUUGAAACAAAAAUGUAAACAUAUUUUUGUAUAUAAAAUUGUUUGUACACUUUAUGUUUGUAAUUGAAUUUUAAUAUAAGUGUAUACGCAUAUCUAUACUAUAUUAAAAAGGCAGUUUUCAAUUGAAAAUCAAUUUUAAAUUAAUUUCAAUGGCAAUUUUGUGAUUUCCUACAAAAAUAAUGACUUAUUGUAUAUAUUCAAAAAUUGAGUAACUAACUCAAUUAAAAUUGCAUAACCCAUAAUUUAAAAAAAAAUGCACACCCCACGUUUAAAAAGAAAAAUUGCAUAACCCACGUUUAUAAUUCCAUAAUGAAUUACUCCAUGUGUAUAUAUACACAAUUUAUUAGGCAUUGGUUAUAAAUAAUUAAUAAAUUUAUAUUUAUAUAAUAAUCUAUACUAUAUUAAAAAGGGAGUUUCUAAUUUGAAAUCAAUUUCAAUGGCGAUUUUGUAAUUAAAAGUUUAUUUAAGAGCAAGAAUUUCAGCAGUAAUGUGAACAUAAAAAAAAACUGCCGUUUGGUGAUAAAUCAUGUGUCCCGCUACUUUUUUAUCAUCUCACAACAAAUUUUAAAAAUUGUGAAUAUAUAAUAUUAAAUUUAUAUUCAUCACAAGCUUUGUGUUCCAUUUAUAAAAAGUGAAAAUAUAGUAGUAUUGUUUUAUGUUUUGCUAUUUUUUUCUCUUAUGAACCAUUAUUUUGCUCAACGUUAUGCUAUAUUUUGAAAGACAAAAAAAUGCCACUCAAUCCUCUCAAAUUAACAAUGUUAAAAAUUUAAAUUCAUUUGUUUUUAGGUAAGGAAUAUAUAUAAUAAUUCAUAAAGUUGAAAAUAAGUUAUAUAAGCCCACAAAUAUUAACGUCUAAAUUAUAAAUAUAUUAUUUAUUUAUUUUCACAAUUGUGAAAAAAAAAUAGCCAAACAUAAUUUAACUAUAUAUACAUAUAUAUAUAUUAGGUAAUGACAAUUGUAAAUAAUAAACAAGGUUUAUACAUUAAAAAUUCAAAUAAUACACUUAAAACAUAUUUUGCCACACGAUGGAGUAAUAUUCUUAAAUGUCCCAACAUGAUAUUAAAAUAAAGUAGAGAUAAUCAAGUUACAAAAUAUAGCUGAUAUUUUCUUACUUAAUUAAAAUGAAUACUUAAAUAUUAGUUUUCAACUUUGCAUUAUGAUUAAAAGAUUUAAAUAAGUUACUUAUUUCAUAUUUUAACUUGACUACUUUUUUUUAAUAUUAUUACAGUUUAAUUCUGCAAUCAAUUUAAAUAGGGGAGAUAAAUUGACUAAUUUACUACAACUACAAGGAAUGGUUAGAUAUGAUGAGUGUGGGCUACGUACAUUCCUAUUUAUUUUAUCUUUUGAACAGGACUACCUACUUCUAUGAUUUUAUUUUGUAGGAGUAUAAUUUGAUACAUAAUUCAUUUUUCUUUAGCCUCUAUUUAAUUAAAUAAUGAAAAUAAUAAUGAAUGUUAUAAAAUUAUGCUUUCUUAAUACCACUACGUGGAUUUAGACGUUUUAAUAUAAAUUUUUAAAAUUACAUUAUUUUUUACCAUUCAUAAUUUUACAUUUAUGUAUUUGUACAUUUUAAUUUUUUGUGUUAUUUUUAAUAUAAUAUAAUGGCCGUGCAUGGCACGGUGGGCAAAUGCUAGUUUAUAAUAUAUUAAGAAGAUAAUUUUCAAUUUCAAAUUGAUUUCAAAAUUAAUAAGUAGCAAUUUUGUAGUUAUAAAAAAUUGAAGUUUUAUUUGUAUAAUAUAAUUUUUUCUUUGUGUUCUUAUUUUUUAAUAUUAUUUCUUUCUAAAAUUGUGAAAUUAAAAUUAUUUAUAAAAUAUAUCAAAUUAAAUAUCAUGAUAAGAGCAUUAAUUUGAUAUAUUUUAUGUAAAUAUUUGAUUUAUGGAUUGUCAGCUCUGGCUACCUUGGUCAGCUUUGGCGAUAUUGAGCUCUGACUCUAAAAAUCUACUCUGCUAUGGAUUUCAGCUCUGACUAUGGAACGACAGCGCAGACGGUUUUGUCAGCGCUGGCAAGGCAGCAGAGUAUGGCACCACUUUGAGCCCAAAUACGCACUUUCUGAACAAAAUCUCCAAAAUAUCAUUCUUUCUCCUAUUGUAUCAAAAUCUCCUGUAACACAUCAAACAGACUCAUAAACGCACCAACUUCCAUAAUAUUUAACUCAAAUAUAGCACAAUCAAACCCUCAAAUUAAGAACAAUUAGGCAUAAAUCAAAAGCUAUUUUUCUAUGAAUCCACAUACAGCUCCCGACUAGGAUGAAUUUCCACCUUUAUUCUUUCAAAAGUAUUGGGAUGAAAUUCGUGAGGCCAUUACUCGAGAUGUGCUGGAAAUUUUGAAUGGAGGCUCUAGUAUUAGUGAGUGGAAUAAGACCCUAGUUGUUCUCUUUCCAAAAAUAAAUAAACCCCAAUAAAGUGAGUGAUUUCCGCACCAUGAGCCAUUGUAACACCAUUUGCAAAAUUGUGACUAAGGCCUUGGCUAAUAGGUUUAGACGUGUUCUUAGAGAUGUGAUUGAUGACUCUCAGAGCGCAUUUGUUUCUGAUCGUAUGAUUUCAGACAAUAUUUUGGUUGGAUACGAAUGUAUGCACUGGUUGAGAAAUCAAAAUAAGGGAAGACAUGGCUUUGCUGCGCCAAACUUGAUAUGCGUAAGGCAUAUGAUCAGGUGGAGUGAGAAAUUUUGAAGGUCAUGAUGGGUGCUAUGGGUUUUCCUAGUAACAUGGUGGAGUACAUAGCUUUCGUGAUCAAUAGUAAAGUUUUUGGAUCUGUUUUGCCGUCUAAAGGGCUACGCCAAGGCUGCCCACUUUCGUCUUUUUGUUUGUGCCAUGUGCUCAGGGGCUUUCCGCUAUGCUCCACUAUUAUGAAGGACAUGAGUGGUUUGAAGGUGUUAAAGUGGCUAGAUCAAGCCCGACGAUCUCUCACAUUUUUCUCGCUUCAAGGCCAAUGCAGGAGGGGUGUUAGCCAUUCGAGAAGCGCUUGAGAUAUAUUCAGUGGCAUCAGGACAGGUGGUCAAUAUGAGGGUGAACUCCAUGCUAUGCUUCUAGGAGAUAAGUUAUCAGAUUGGAUGUGGAUGUUUCGAUACAUGAGGUUGGCAACAUUACUAGCGUCGGAUUCAUCCUCAGAGAUCACAAGGGUUGCUUGAUUGCAACUGUGGCUUAAAGAAUCGGGCGCACUAUGAUGACAUAAAUGAGUGAACUAUCCAUGCUAUGCUCCUAGGAAUCGACUUCUUCAACUCCCUCUUAUUGUUUAUUCAGACUCUAUUAUUGUUGUGCAUGUGGUGCAUGAUGAGAAGAAAAACUUGGACUCUCUUUGCGAUGAUCUUUACUCGACUUUUUCUCACGCAAAGGGGUAUUGUGUUCUUAUUUUCGGCAUGUUUGUAGGGAGGCCAAUGGCACUGCUCAUAAUUUAGCAAAUUUCGCUAUUUCUGCUAAUGAUGUAACGGUUUGGAAGUCAGAUUUCUGAGUUGGCUUUCAGAUAUUCUUCAUCGGGACUUAAUAUAGUUGUUCCUCUUGCCAAAAAAAAAAGUGAUAUUUGAAAAUCUUUAUACUUAUUAAUAAAAUAUUGAGUUUUCUACAUAUAGGCGUACUAGUAGACAUAAAAAAAGAUAGACAGAAAUUUGCCAGAGAAAAGCUAUGGGACAAAAAAUGUGUCGGGAAAAUAUAGUUGUUGCAACUUUGCUUUUAUAUAUUUUUUAUUAAUAAAAAAAUAUUCAAUAUACAUCUCAAAUUAUAAAAUCAUGAUAAAAUCGUUAAUUUUUUUUAUAUAAAAAUUUUCACAAAUAAUUUAAAAAUAAAUAAGAUUUAAAGUCUAAAAAAAUCUCUUCAUUUUUCCUAAAUCCUACCUCAUUUCUCUCUCAUUUUCGCCUCCUCUCUCAUAUUUUUUCUCUUUCAUAUUUCUUCUCUCCUAUAUUUAUUCUUUUAUUUAUUUUAUGUAACUUCUCAUUCUUCUUCUUCUUCUUUCUUUUUUUUUUUUGAGAAGAGCUUCUCAUUCUAUUAUCUCUCACCCUCCUUGUUUUUCUCUCAUAUUCAUUCUCUCUUUAUUUUUAAAACAUUAUUAUUAAUUAAUGUAAUAAUUGCAAGAAUACCACUAAAUUGACAUGCUUGUAGUUAUUUUUUCACCUUUAUUAUGUGAAUGUCUUAUUUAAUUAUAUUGAUACUUUUGUAAUUCUAAAAAAAACAAUUGUGUUUUUAUAUAUUUAUAUAGAUAGAUAUUGAUACUAAAACAUCGAACCAGCUUAGCCGGAUCGGCCCAAUUGACCCGCCCAUUUGUUACCAUGUAUACAAACAGUUUCUUAAUAAAAGGGAUAUAAUCAAGACGUCUCUGCAUUGAAAACUUCACUAUUAGAAGUAGUUGAAAAGUAUGGCCAAUCUUCAUGCUAAACAAUACUUCCAUACUUGAUAAAAAUUUAGUUAAUUAUCAUGUUACAGCAAACAAGCUCUUCGUAGAAACAACAUAGCAAUGUUUAAUCCUAAAUUACUUGCACAAACGACAUGAACGUUGAAGGUAAAUGCCCAAACAGAGAAUAUGGCAAUACGUCAACAUGCAUCCUUACAACUAAUCGCUAUUGGUGAGUCAAUCUGAGUCGUAUCUUUUCUUAUCUUUGUGCUUCCUGUGCUUCCUCUUGUCAUCCGAAUCACGUGAAUGUCUCUUCUCCCGCCUUUCGUGUUUAUCACGUCUCUUAUCCUCAUGCUUCCUUUUCUUUCUGCUGGAUUCGUCUUCUAACUCCUUCUCAUCGUUCCUUGCAGAUGUGGUUGGAACAGAGACGUUCGUCUUUCCAACUGGUUCGGACUUCUUUUCAAUUGGUUCAGACUUCAAACUGGACGGCAAGAUUGAUUCUUCAGAAGGACCUGACGCCCCCCUGCAGAUGUUCAAAAUUUGCACUUAACAAUCCUAUUUUAUUAGGGAUGAGUUCCAUUAAAAGAUCAGUUAUGAAUUAUGGCCUCCAAAUUUUUAUCCAGCAAAUACAGAUCACAUUUCAUUAUCUGUUUAUUCCAUAAGUUUGUACCAUGUUUAGUUUUACGAUAUCAUACACAUUGGGCAUAGUUAAGAAGCAAAAUCAGACAUACAGUGUUGCAAAAUACAAGUUUAAGUUUGAUAAAAUUGAUAAGUAACCUUAAUGGAAAUUUAAUAUCAAGUUUCCAGUUCAUACCUUGCAAAACCAAUACCUUGAACUUGAGCUGCUUCAGCAUGUCCAGCACCCAAGUCUUCUGNAAAUAGUUAAUUACAAAAAAAUGACACAGAUAGUUUCUCAAAUGAUACUAAAGUGCUGUGUAGUGUGUACAGCAUUUGUCAUAAUAAGGAGGAUUCAAUCGAUACGAUCACCUACAAGUUCCAUAUUGAUUAAAACCUCAAUUGACAGCUUCGUAGCCCCACAAGUCAGCAAUAUUAACAAUUGACUAUAAUACAAUUUUCGGGGGAGGCUAUAAUGCUAUUAUUAGCAUGCAAACUCGACAAAUGAGGUUAUUAAUGCUACUGGCUUUUCUUGCGAAUAAAUGCACCAUAUUUCCAGGGUCAUUCAUUCAAUUUAAUAAUAGAGGCUCCACUAGACGAGCCAAGCAUAAAACAAAGAAGUACAUGUGAAUCAACUAGUUGCUUUUGGAUGAAGCGAACAGGGAAAGGGGAAAAACUUUUACCUUUCUGCCAUCUUCCAACAGGAGCCUUGAGACUGUGACCGAUAUAAUUUUCUCGAUGUUUAUCAACUUUCACCUCAUCCCAAGUAAAUUCUGCAUGUGUUUCAUAGAAGAACAAUGUUAUCAACGAAUAAUGACUACUACAAGACAUGCCAGAAACAGAAAGCAUGUGGAACAAGGUCAGAGUAACAUCAGUAACAAACUCUUCACCCACAACAUUAAAUCAGACUUAUAAUUAACUUAGCAACUCUGCAAUGCAUUUCUAUCUGAUAUGAUGAUGCAUAGGAAUUAGUAAGUAAAAUCAUAUUGCAAACAUUGUUGAUCCCAAAAUCAUUUCAAAAUUGCAUCCUAUCGAUGGAUCCUACGGACGACAUCCACCUGCUCAGGAGUCUAUUACUACUGUAAGCAAAACAAUCUAGAUCUCUCAUCUCCCCUAACUAAUAUUAAAGUUACAAAUACAUAAAACAACCUAGAUAAUGUGCAGUUGCUAAAUAGGAAAAGCUAUGAUCAUAACAAAACAUACUAUUUCGAAGCAAGUAACGAAACCCAUAAAUUCAAACAAUACCGUAGAAGUAUUAUUACAAUCAACCCAGUUCAAUCAGCCCUAAAUUAAACAAAUCAUAUCCCUAAAUCCCCCGAAAAAUCGGUGAUACAAGUUGACAAUAUACAACAAAUUCCAGUUUCUUUAUACAAAAAGAUGCUGCCGAUGUACAUAAUUAUGUCGACGACUAUAAGACAAUCAUAGGGUAUUCGAAUUAUAAUGCAAAAUUCACAGAAGAAAAGAGGAAUCUCCAUAAAUUUCUCCGGAAAUUACAUAGCUCACUAACUAAAAACAUGGACAGCCAAUUCUGAAGGUUUAAUCGAAAGUCACCCGUAACUGUUCGAAAACCUAGAAUUUGAGGGUGGAAGAAGGAAGAGAGAGCUUACGAUCACGACCGCCGCGAACUCCGCCUCUUGUUGGAUGGUACAUAAUUCUUCACUAAAACCAGAUUUGAUUGUUAAUUGCGGCAAAUCUCGAUGCGCAGAUGAUGAUGGUGAGAGUCGAAAGAAGGGGGUAGGGCUGAUAUUCUUUUUUUUUUUUUCCUUCUGGUUUAGGGGGUAGUGCUGAUAAUUCUGGUUUAGGAAGUAUGAAUGACAAUUAUGCCGAAUUGUAGAUUAGUCCCGGACUUUAUAUGGAGUAUUACAAAUUACAAAUGCUGUGUACACAGCAAAUAUCCCACAUCGUGGAAUGAGCAAACAAAGGCUACGUAAGUGCCUAUAAAUACGAGGUUUUUCGACCUGGUUAAAUCACGCAGCUGCGCGUUGAGCACAUAGCGAACUAUUCUUUCGCCUUUUACUAAAGAAUACCGUGUGCUCGUCGCAAUUCAAGCAGCAUACGCCAUUUUUUGGAGGGUGUUUUCCUUGUUGGAAAACCCCGAAAAAUCAUAAGUUAAAUUUUACAAUAUUUGUCUAAAUAAAAAUAUACAUAUCGAAAUGUUGAUAUAUAGUGUAAUUUUAUAAUAUUUGUCCAUAUAAAUAAAUAUAUAUCCUUGAGGUAUAAAAUGCUGAUAUAUAUAUUUUUUAUAUUUAAUAUUUUUGUCCAAAUAAAUACUCCGUUCCUAAAAUAACUUCUUUUUUUCCCAUUUUGGGACGUCUCCAAAUAACUUCCUCUUUUUUUCUUUCCAUUUUUGGAAACCUACCCCACCACUAAUAAUAUUUUAUUUAUUCUUACUUUUCACCACUCCAAUAUUAAUUAUAACACUUUUCACAACUUCCAAUAAUAGUAUAUCAUUUUUUCUCCACUAUCAAUACACUUUACAACUUUUUAUUAAAACUCGUGCCGUCCCCAAAGAGGAAGCCAUUUCAGGGACGGAGGGAGUAUGUAUAUAUUGGUUUGGGAUAGAAAUGGUGAUAUAUAAUCUGCUCAAAAAAUAGAAAAGAAAUAUUGAUAUAUAAAUUACUUUUUAUUUUUACUAGUUAAAAUUGAUAUUUUUAUGGUUUUUCAAAUGCUAAAAUUGUUAAAUAUUGGCUGUUUAUUUCAAUGGAUAAAACUUGUUGUCAUACGAUUAUUUUCUUCCCAAUUUGCCAAGUAUUUGAGAAAAAGUAGCCUCCAACAAUUUAAUUUAUAGAGCUAUUUUCUCUAAAAAAAGAUAAAAUUAUUGGCUAAAAAUUAGUCUCUUUAUUUCCUCUCCUACAAUUCAAUUCAGUUCAUACCUUAGAUUAACUUGAAGAAAUACAUCAAUAAUCAAAUUUGAUGGAAACACAGUUCUGUUUUCGUGAACAAAAAUAAUAGCAACAACGCAAAAAGAAUAACAUCACUUCAAACACUUUUGAACCAAACAAUAAUGAUAAAUGAAAAAUAUUUUCUGAAGUAAAGUUCAAUAAUUUUUGAAUUAAUCACUCCACAUCUUGUCAUAAAAUCUAAUAAACUUGUGUUGUACGGAAAAGCAUAACGAUUCAUCAAUCAUCUUCGUAAAAUGACACAUCUUUUAGACCAUGUAGAUAAUCAUAGGUCCAAACCAUAUUAGAAAAUGUACUAAAUUAUUUACAUAUGUUUAAUCCGGAAUUCGAAACCAUCAACAACAAAAUGAUUUUCUUGAGAUUAUGUUCAUAAUAUCCACUGAAGUAAAUAUAUUGACAUGUAGCGCAAGGGAAAAAGUGAAGGAGAAAACAACAGUUAUCCCACAUCUGAAAGUUAGUACAUGGAGCAGGGGAAUAGCACAAACAUAAAGGGAAGAAAAAGAUAGAAGUUCCAUACUUACCUGGACGGGUCAAUGGGCGAUCCAUAAGGCUCAUGGCCUAGGUUGGCGAUCUCCAUUGCACACAGGAGGGGCGCCCGCCUAAGGUCGGCCCAAGUGGUCGAGCCUACGUCAUAAUUUGUGUUAGAGGGGGCCUGCGUUCGCGCAGCCCCUACCCAAUUCAAGUACAAUUUUGCCUAAGCUCACUUAGAAAGGCUUUCUAAUUCAGGUAGGGUCAUUGCUAACAUUGGACUAUUGGUCAAUUUGGGUUUGUGUAAUUCUAUUCAUAGCUUUUGAGUCUGCAUAAUUCUCAUGUUUGCUCAAUUUAAGUUUGGGUGAUUUUGCCUUAAUUUUAUUUUAUUUAUUACUAGUGCGCUCUCCUGGUGCGGAUCAUCGCAUGAACUAUGAUAUAACUUUAUCAAAAAUAUUAUUAUUAUGAGUUAAAUUAAUUGAUAGCAAAAAUACAAUUUAUGUUAAUUUAAUUGUUCAAUAGAAUAGAAACUAAAUUAAAAACCACAAAAAAUUAAUAUAAAUUCAAAAAAAUUAUUGAUUUUGAGAUGCUUCAUUUUGUAUAAUAUUCAUAUCCGUAUUACAAAAUUAUAGAAAAUGACUCAUCAAUUUUUCCAUUUUUCAUUAGUCGAAAAGGGAAAAUGCUUGUCAUAUUUUGAAAAUUCAUUUCCAAAAUUAUUAUUAUUCCAUACAUUUCCAUGCACCUACUCUUUCUUAAGUUGAUUCCACAGCAAGUAUUUUUAUGUAAAAUAUUAACAAAGUAUGAAAACAUUCAUUUCUCAAUCUACAUGAGAAUGUAAAAAUCCUUACUUCUAUUUAUUCUUAUAAAAGUGAAGAUUAUUUCAAGAUAUAAAUAUGAAUAUGAAGAUAAAAUCACCCAAUCUGGAUAUAUUUCUCCACUGUAAGAGAUAUUUUCAAUGAUAAUUGCUUUUUGGCAACAUCAUCGUACGCUACCACUGCUAUCAGAGGAUCUCCAAUUAGCUUGGAAUAAAACCUUUAUUCCAUAUUUUAGUCUCUCUUGUCCAAUAUAAGACUUAUAAAUCUCUAUUUUCCUGUAAUAUCCUAACUGAUCAUAUAUGAUAAUUUAGAUUUUAGUAAAAAUAGUUCAAUAAAUCACAUAUUUAUGUUGUAGAUUAUAGAAUUUAAAACUAUAUCAUAACGUGACUUACAAUGAAUACACUGACUAAUGCCUAUCAUUUUUACUGACACAUAUAUACACGCCUAUAUAUAUAUAGUUGUUUAUAUAAAUAAUAAUACAAUAGGAUGGAAUCCUCAGAGUAUAACUACACCUCAAUAUCAUUAACACAAAAGGUCAAAAAGAAAGAAUGAAAAUAGCGAUAUCUUAGUCUUUCUACCAAAAUUGUAAACAAAUUAUUUCAUCUUCAAGAUACAUUAUGCAUCAUGUCACUGAUCAAUCUAAAAUAGAUAACAUAAUAAUAAUCUAUAACAAAUAAGUUGAAAUAAAAUUAUUCAAAAACUCGCUAAGACACUGAGCUAGCUCUUAUAAUUGCAACAAACAAAUUCACCACCAAAUAUCAUUUUAAUUACAAUGUUAUGUUGUUUAACUUCUGCAUCAUUAAAAGUAAGUGCCCGUUACAAUGUCAUAGUUCAUCUAUAUAUGGCGCAACGACGACAACCUGAUAUGAUAAUAUUGUUAAGGCUACAUGAGACCAUAAUAUAUUUUUUAAGUGUUUUUCAUUUAGAUUUAGACAUACAUCGUUCCGUUUAUUCGUUUAUGAGGUGAUGAGUUCAGAAAUAAUUCUAUGAAAACAUAAUUAGGAAAAUAAAUUCUCUAACAUCUACGGCUUAUUGGAAGAAAAUAUCAAAUUAACAAUAUAAUAACAAUUAACAUAGUACAUCAGUAAAGAUUUUGCUUGCAAGAUUGCAGCAGAGACUUACACUAUUUUCCACCCAUUUCCUUCUUCUCAUUCAUUUAUAUAUGUUGAUUAAAUAUUCAAGAAAGAAUAAAUAAAUAAAUAUCUUAAAGUCUAUUUUAAUCAUAGAUUUUUUUUUUAAUUGACGAUUUUAUAUAUAAAAAAAGAAAAGAAAAAACCAAAAAAACCCUUGAAAGCACAGAAGGAGCAGACUAAGGGCCGAUCCUCAUUAAAACCUUUUCACGGAAAGGCCAGUGGGAAAAACCGUGAAAAGGAAAAAGAGUACUCGUCUAAACACAGAACGAAAGUAGGGAAGAGCGGAAGGGAAAGUUUCCGGAACUCCGGCCUAACCAUCGUCCCUAAACUAUCCCGGCUCUCACCCCACGAAAAAAUACUAAACGGCCGAUAAGACGCCGUCGCCGUAAGAAGAACAAACCCAAACAAAGAAAAACGAGAGCAAGACAUCCGGGUAAAUGCCAUCUCCUUGAGCAUUCCACAACAUCCAUCCCUAAAACCCACUCAUGAACCAACCAUCAGCCCCAACUACCGUUUCUGACGCAGAUGGCUAUGCGACGCCAUGUCAAGGCGAACCGCAGCCCUAAUCUCCUCAAUCUCGUACGGCCACNUAAAGAAUAGAGUAUAUGAAACUUAUUUUAUAAAAAAACAUACAUUACUAUCUAUCUAUACAUAUAUAAAGCUGGUCCAUCUAGCCAAAAAAUUCCCGCCCUUUUACUCAAUUUAUUUUUGGAAAGUUGAUCUAUAUUUGGAAAGUUAACAUAUAUAUAUAUAUAUAUAUAUAUAUAUAUAUAUAUAUAUAUUUAUAUUCUUAAUUAAAUGUAAUUAAAUCUACAUUUAAUUGAACGACAUUUAUUCUCAUCAUCUAUAUAUGAAAUUUAUAUGUAAAAAUUUGUAGAUCACUAAUUUCAAUCAAGUCUUUUGUGAGAAAUAUUCAUCCAAUAAAUAAAAUUCAAAAUAUAAAUACAUAUAAAUUGCAUGGGAUCUUGUAGUCAUUUGCAAAAGUGAAUAUUCUUUUUGAUUUACACGCAAUUUUAGACUAUAGAUUGUUUUUGAAUUCAAGAGAAUAAAAAAUUAUUUACGAACUCGUAGCAAUAUCUCAUAUAAAUUAUUUUUGAUUUACACGCUAUCUCAUAAAUUGAUUUCUAAUUAUUUUCAAUUAUAUCUUUUGGAGAUAAACAAAAGAAGGGCUAUAUAAGGCUGUUGUUAAUUUUUUGUUGUGAUUUUUGCAAAGUAUGACAAAAAUAACAACAACAAUAAUAAUAAUAAAAUAAUAAUAAUAAUAAUAAUAAUAAUAAUAAUAUUACUAAUGCUAAACACGACACAAUAUAUCAUCCAAUCAUAUCUCCAUAAAUCAUGACCCACAUUGAUUAUGUUUCUAUGUUUUGUCUAACAAAUCAAAAUACCAAUAUACCAAUCAACUAUCAACGAAAUUAUGAAAUACAUAUUAAGUAGAGUAAGGUAUUGAUUGGUAUGCAUGAUUAAUGGGAUUUUUGUAUCAUCUUUACAGCUAAACAAAGGAGACGAAGAAGAAGCCCUAUCUCAGGCAUGCAUGACGUCAGAUCUAAGAGAGAGAGGUGAUAGUGUGAAAUAUGUAAUUUGGCAACAUUUCAUAUAUAUCUCCAAAAAAUGUAGCAACUUUUUAUUAUCGUCAAACCAAAAUCAACUCCAUUAUCAAAGCAUCUCAUUCAAUAUAAUAUAUUAAAUAUAUAAGUUUCAUAUAUAUCUCCCAUCAAAUGUGUAUCCCCGUGGCCUAUAUAAACUAACUUUUGGUGUGAAAUUUUUACUUAUACUCACUUCUUCUUUUGAUAUUCAUCAUUUCUCUAAUCUCAAACAUGCCGACCAUGUGGUCUUUAGUAAAAAAAUUACAACCAAAUAAUGCCAGAUCUGCAAUGAAUUAAUAUGAGGCUAUUUUAUUUUGGAAGGGAAAGUUCUCACAGACCAUAAUGCAGGACAUCAAGUAUUGAUACCAAGAUGACACUGAUACCAGUUGAUCCAAGACUACCGCUCAAGUUUCAACGGCAGCAGUUCCCUAUUAUUGUUUCUUAUGCAAUGACUAUAAACAAAAGUCAAGGUCAAUCACUCUCUCAUGUGGGUUUAUUUUUGAAUAGGCCUGUUUUUAGUCACAGUCAGUUUUAUGUAGCUAUUUCUAGAGUUACAAGUCGAAGGAGUCUGAAAAUCUUGAUAUGUAAUGAAGACAAAGUAGAUUAUUAAUUCUACAAAUGUUGUAUAUAAAGAAGUGUUCCAAAAUUUAUAAUAAUAAGAUGACAAGUUUGCAAUUGUCUUUUCAUGUAUUAUUAUUUUCACCUUUAUUUUUAAGUAAUUUUAAAAAUGUUAGUCUUAAAUAUAUUUUAGCAGUAACAUAAUUGGUAUAACAAUUGUAUAAUAAAAUAUUUUUAAAAUCAUUUAUUUUAGAGAUUAUACAAAAGUGUCUUUCAGAAUGUUACAAUAAAAUGCUUAUAUUGUUCGAUGUCUUACUUAAUCAGGUAUAGACAUCCUAUGAACUUUUACGUAAAUGGAUGAAUUUUAAAAUAAGUUAUGAUAUUUUUUAUUAUUUUAUAUCUUUAUUUUAAUAACCAAAUUUUAACAACAUAUAUAAUCCCGUGCAUCGCACGGGUAAAACACUAGUAUUUUGUGUAGGUGGUGGCAUUGGUUGUUUUGAGUGUUGCAUCAAUGCUACAUCAAUAAUUUGAAUUUAUUAAUUUUUGUAAACCUAUCUAUGCAUUAAUAAACUUACAAAAAUAAAUACUAGCAUGUGCACAUCGUGCAAUACAUAAAAAAUAUUUUUAUAUUUCUAUAUUUAUAUAUAAUUGAUACCAAUUCAAUUAUUAUAUAUAUAAAUAUAAUAAAAAAAAGAGUAACAACGUUAAAAUACAUGAAUUUUCAUACACAUUGACAUUUCUAGUUUUGAACACGAACUUAAAAUUCUACUUUUAAAUACAUGAACUUUCAUUUCUUUCUAAUUUUGCACAUAACGAGUAUUUUUAACAACUGAAAGUUGAGGUAGAAGUCAGAAUUGACUAAUUUUCAUUUGUUAUUAAGUGAAGUAUCAAUUAUAAUGUGUGACAUAUAUAAAUGAAAAUACUAAAAUUUAGCCAUUAUUUUUCAAUUGUUGGCCACCAUUUUCUCUUUUCCUGCGCAUGAAGUUGGGUUCUAUCUUUAGCAUCCAAGGUCAAGGUGCCAACAUGACAAUUUGCAACAAUAGCUUCCAGCUCUAUUAAAUGACAAUUUUAUAUAAAAAAGAAAAGAAAAAACCUAAAAAAAACCCUUGAAAGCACAGAAAGAGCAGACUAAGGGCCGAGUCUCAUUAAAACCUUUUCACGGAAAACCCAGUGGUAAAAACCGUGAAUAGGAAAAAGAGUACUCGUCUAGACACAAGACGAAAGUAGGGAAUAGCUAAAGGAGAUACAACUCCGAGAUUCAGAAUAACAACGAAAAAACAACCACCCAUCAGUCCCAACUACCGUUUCUUACGCAGAUGGCUAUGCGAAGCCAUGUCAAGGCGAACCGCAGCCCUAAUCUCCUCAAUCUCGUGCGGCCACCACCCUUCUGAACGUUGUUGGUUAACCAUAAUAUCUGCCGCCUUGUUUCCUUCUCUAAAGAUGUGAGAAACCUGUAGCGAGAAAGCAUCUAACAUCUUUAAAAUCCUAUUCCACGCCGCCUUAAAACGCCAAGGCACAUUUCAAAGAACGAGUAUUAAGAAUUGAUAUCACGUAGGUGGAAUCGGCUUCAAUCCAAAGCUUGUGCCAACCACGAUUGUGAGCAAUUUGAAUCGCCGAGAUAACAGCCAGGAGUUCCGCUUCAAAGGCAAAACCCGAGCCACCUUUGAAGUGAAAACAACCACGCACUACAUUCCAGUUAUCUCUAAACACCCCACCUGCAGCAAUAGUUCCCGGAGCUCCCGUCGCUGAGCCAUCAGUAUUUACUUUGAUCCACGGCGCCACCGGUGGCCACCAAUGCACCUCAACAAACUCCGGAGGAGGAGCACUCCUGGUAGUAACACCCACUGCCCGGAGAAUCAGAUAAUCUGACCUAAGAAUUCGACAUGUAACCUAAUUUAGGAAAGUUAUCAUCAAUCUCUUUUGAAAGUCAACUUUCACAGUGUGGAUGACACGACUUGCUUCGAACUUUUGAUUAUCAAAGAUACAAUUGUUCUCUGCAUCCAGAUGGCCCAGAUGACCGUGAUGAUACCAGCUUUCCAGAAAUUACCGGUGAGGGGACUAAGUUAUACUGCCAAGCUGCCACCAAAAACUAUGAAUAUCAUUCUCUUGCAACCCUUGCGUAGAAAUUAAACCACCCCAAGAAACGUAGUCCAAAUAUUCUUCACACGCUCACAAUUCCAGAAAAGGUGAUCCUGAGACUCACUUCCUUUUAAGCAGAGCAAACAGACGUUAGGCGUGAUCAUACCGUAGCGGAUAAGGCGAUCAUAAGUUGGCACUCUAUUAUGAAGAAGACGCCAACAGAUCAAAGAACGUCGAAUCGGAAUAAAAGAUUCCCAAAGCCAAGAACCCUAAGACACCUUCGGAAAAUGAUGACAAUGCUUGUUGAAAGUCAGCGCAGUAGUGACAUUCCCGUGCAACGAGGGUUUCCAGAAACGCACAUCUCCCUCAGAACCAAGAGGAGUGAGUGAAAUAUCACACACUAUCUCAGGAAAAGCAUUAACAAAGGCUUGCGUGAAAUGCCAGACCCCAUCGUAGAAAUAAUCAGCCACCGAUUGAGUAAGAAACGGAAGCAUGAAAAGCGGAAUACCGCAUUUAUUCAUCAGAUUAUACCCAAGCCAGUCGUCAUACCAGAACGAAGUAGAAGCGCCGUCACCAAUAUACGAGUACGAAUCUGCCACCAAACCAUCAAUUUCCUCACGUAAGCUCAUCCAGAUAGUAGAAGCAGCCACCAGAGAUUUACUACGCCCAAAGCGAUCGAGAUAUCUAUCUCUAAUCAAAUCAUAUCCGAACUCACACCCACCAACCACCUUCCACGCCAUUUUCAUGAGAUAGCUCUUAUUCAUUAAUUCGAAUGACCUUACCCCGAGACCGCCCUCCUCCUUAAGCGAGCAGACCCUCUUCCAACUCACAGAGCAAGACGGCGUCUGCUUGAUGUUGCCAGUCCAAAGGAAAUUACGGCAGCACGCAUCGAGCUCCUUAAUAAGAGCAGUCGGCCAUCUAUAAACCAUCAUGGAGUGCGUCAGGGAGCUUUGGAUAACCGACCUGAUCAGGCAAAUCCUCCCAGCCAUUGACAAAUGUAAUCCCUUCCAUCUCGCGAACUUGUUUAUAACACGAUCAUGUAUCGGUCGAAGAUAGGAGGCACGCACACGGCCCUUAAAGAUAGGAACCCCAAGGUAAGUAAUUGGAAAGUUGCCCUGAGAAAAUCUCAAAAUGCUCCUAAUAGCCCUGCAGGUUUGAGAAGGAACNNNNNNNNNNNNNNNNNNNNNNNNNNNNNNNNNNNNNNNNNNNNNNNNNNNNNNNNNNNNNNNNNNNNNNNNNNNNNNNNNNNNNNNNNNNNNNNNNNNNNNNNNNNNNNNNNNNNNNNNNNNNNNNNNNNNNNNNNNNNNNNNNNNNNNNNNNNNNNNNNNNNNNNNNNNNNNNNNNNNNNNNNNNNNNNNNNNNNNNNNNNNNNNNNNNNNNNNNNNNNNNNNNNNNNNNNNNNNNNNNNNNNNNNNNNNNNNNNNNNNNNNNNNNNNNNNNNNNNNNNNNNNNNNNNNNNNNNNNNNNNNNNNNNNNNNNNNNNNNNNNNNNNNNNNNNNNNNNNNNNNNNNNNNNNNNNNNNNNNNNNNNNNNNNNNNNNNNNNNNNNNNNNNNNNNNNNNNNNNNNNNNNNNNNNNNNNNNNNNNNNNNNNNNNNNNNNNNNNNNNNNNNNNNNNNNNNNNNNNNNNNNNNNNNNNNNNNNNNNNNNNNNNNNNNNNNNNNNNNNNNNNNNNNNNNNNNNNNNNNNNNNNNNNNNNNNNNNNNNNNNNNNNNNNNNNNNNNNNNNNNNNNNNNNNNNNNNNNNNNNNNNNNNNNNNNCUAUCUCUAAUCAAAUCAUAUCCGAACUCACGCCCACCAAUCACCUUCCACGCCAUUUUCAUGAGAUAGCUCUUAUUCAUGAGCUCGAACGACCUUACCCCGAGACCGCCCUCCUCCUUAAUCGAGCAGACCCUCUUCCAACUCACAGAACAAGAUGGCGUCUGCUUGAUGUUGCCAGUCCAAGGAAAUACGGCAGCACGCAUCGAGCUCCUUAAUAAGAGCAGUCGGCCAUCUAUAAACCAUCAUGGAGUGCGUCAGGGAGCUUUGGAUAACCGACCUGAUCAGGCAAAUCCUCCCAGCCAUCGACAAGUGUAAUCCCUUCCAUCUCGCGAACUUGUUGAUCACACGAUCAUGUAUCGGUCGAAGAUAUGAGGCAUGCACACGACCCUUAAAGAUAGGAACCCCAAGGUAAGUAAUCGGAAAGUUGCCCUGAGAAAAUCUCAAUAUGCUCCGAAUAGCCCUGCAGGUUUGAGAAGGAACUUUGCUAGUAAAAAAAAUUUGCGACUUAUCCGGGCUCACAAUUUGAUCAGAAAUUUGACCAUAAUAUUCCAUAAUUUUCUGAAUGGUAUGAGCAUUCAUGACCGUGGCGUGACAGAAAACCAGAAUAUCAUCCGCAUAUAACAGAUGAGUGGGAAAAUUAAUUCCCUGUCUCAUUUGCAUCGGGGUAAGGGUGCCCGCGCUAACAGAAUUUGCAAAGAGCCUACCAAGAACAUCCUCGGCGAUUCCAAAAAGAAUCGGAGAAAGAGGAUCGCCCUGACGAACACCCCUUGAACACGCAAAAUAACCUUUAAGCUGACCAUUGUACAGAAUAGAAAUCCUAGCCGAAUGAAGCAGAAUCUCAAUCCAACUAAUGAACUUUGAAUCAUAGCCAGCAACACGAAGAACGUUAAGCAGGAAAUCCCAGCUAAGAGUAUCAAAAGCUUUUUUGAUGUCAAUCUUGCAAGCCAUGUUUUGACCACGGCUCGUACGAUGCAUACAGUUCACGCCUUCCGACCCAAUCAGAAUACAAUCGUGAAUGGAACGGCCGCUAAUAAAACCAAACUGAUGACGGGAGACAUAAAUAGCAGCAACCUGGCUCAGUCUAGACGCCAACACCUUAGUAAUAAUCUUGUAAAGAAAGUUGGACAAAACAAUCGGUCUCAGAUCCGAGACCGAAUUGACGACAUCUUUCUUAGGUAUCAACACCAAGGUAUUAGAAUUGCAGCCUUGAGGAAGAUAAGAAUUCCGGAAAAAUGCUUGAACAGCACACCAAAUAUCCACUUUAAUAAUCGACCAACAAUGCUGAAAGAACUUACCCGAGAAACCAUCUGGCCCAGGCGAGCUGUUCGGCUCCAUCUGAAAAACCGCAGCAGAAAUUUCCUCUUCAUCCGGCAAACGAAUGAGCAAAUUAUUAUAACGAUCUUCGACCAUCUCCUCAAUAACCGCCUCAACCGCCGUAAUAUCAGUAUUAGUAUGACUGCUAGUCGAAAACAAAGAAGAGAAGAAAUCCACAAUAUGAUCCCCAAUAACCUUUUGAUCGUAAUUCAUAUCUCCAUUGAUCUCCAUGUGAGAAACGAUGUGAGGUUUACGGCGAAACCUAAGCAUCGCAUGAAAGAACUUCGUGUUCCUGUCUCCAUCUUGAAGCCAAGACACCCGGCUUUUUUGCUGUAAAAGCGAACUCUGCCUGGAAAGCACAACGUUGAUCUUAGCUUGGGCUUCCACUUCUUUAUCAAAGAGAUCGUCCGUGUAACCAUCCCUGGCAAUCUGAUCUUGAAUCUCCAAAAGCUCUUGUUGAGUAUUCAUGAUACCAGAAUCAACAUUUCCAAAAACAUUCCGAUUCCACGCGCGAAGAACCUGCCGAAGACGCUUUAAUUUAUGCAUAACUUUAAAAAUCGGGCAGGCAAUCUCGGUAUCCAUCUGCCAGGACCGUUCCACCGUAUGGAGAAAAUCCGGAUGUAAGGUCCACAUGUUAAGGAACUUAAAGAAACGAUGGCGAGGAGGAGCAUCCACCAUGCAAUGAAGAACAAGCGGAGAAUGAUCCGAGGAAAUACGUGGAAGAGCUUGAACAAAAACCGAACUCCAGAGAUUUGCAAAAGAGUCAGAAUAAAUCGCUCUAUCCAGACGAGACUCCACGUGGGUAGGCAUAAAUCUACGACCAGACCACGUGUAAUGCAGACCAACCGUCGGCGCCUCAAUGAAACCGGUGGCUUCAAUGAAAUCACAGAACUCCGCACAAGCAGUAGAGUUAGGCAUACAGUCACUACUUCUUUCAUGAGCGCCUUUCACCGCAUUAAAAUCGCCAAUAAAGACAACAUUACCAUCAAUAUGAUCCAGAAGAUCCAACCACAAACGCCGUCUGCCAGCAUACGUGUUAACGCCAUGCACCACCGCGAUUUUAAAAUUCCACGUCGACCAUCUGCAGUUCAUGAUAACCACCUGCUCCGAGGAGAAAAUCACAUCAUGAGUAACAGAAGGAUGAGAAAAAACCCAAAUAUUCGAACUCAUGUUGUCUCUUGAAUUUUGAAAACAAGGAAUAAGAUUCAGAGAACGCCAGAAUCUAGAAUAAGUCUUCUUGAGGUUCGUCUUAGGCUCAAUAAUCCCAACAAUAACCGGGGAGAAGGAGUCGCAAUGCUCCUUUAAAACUCGUUUGGACUCGUCCGUAAGGCCCCGGACAUUCCAUACGAGGACAUUCAUCAUAAAGACUGAGAAUUCGUGUUCGGGUUUUCACCCGAUUCCACUUCAGCUGCCCAACUCUUGGCCGCCACAUUAUUCAGGGCUCUAUCAUUCUUCGAGCUUCCUGACGUAAUAAUGAAAUCUCGAGGUUUAUCUCCUGCUUCCCAAGCUUUGUAAAGUUUAUUUUUGAUGAAAUCUUCAGCCUGUUGGUUAGGUUGCUGAUUAGGUUGCUGCUCUACCGACUUCCGGAGACGACUCUUGAUACUCUCUUCCCCACGAAUCAUCGGUUUAAUUGCCGCCAAAUCUUUCGGCGGUCUCCCCCUUUUUUUCACCUGCGCUUCCGCCUCAAAAUUCCUGAAAGUUUCCACUAUCCGCUGAGCUUUGAUAGCGCUUUCCAUCAUCCUUUCCUGUUUCUCACAAUUUUUAUCCUGAUUGACCGAACUUUCAAAAAUGACGAUCUGUUGUGAAUCUGCUUCAGCCCGUGUAUUGCCACCAUCCGACUGCCCAUCAGACUCGUCUCCCGAAUCUAUCUCUUCCGUAACCGGCAUAGUGAUCGCCUGUAAGAUAUCCGGACCCGAUGUCAAUCUAUCUCCAUUGACAUCCUCAAAAUCAAUAUUCCUAUCAAUUAAAGCCAACGACUGAUUGUGGUUCUUUGUUCCCCGCGGUGUCUGAAUCUGCUCUUCUUCAACAGCAACCUGUUCCAAAACCCCCAACUGAUUUAUAAUCUGCUCUUCUUCGACAGCCACCUGUUCCAAAACCCCAAACUAAUUUUCAGUGAUAAUCUGCGGUCUGUGAGCUUGGGCAGUCCUAUUCUGGUCCCAAGAUUUAGGCUUCCAGUUAGGUGCCCUAACAUCCUUGGCAGCUCCCUUAUUAAUUAUUUCAUUGUCUUUACCCAGCGGCAUGUCUUUGGCCUUCCCAUUCCUGCUGUCCUCCUUGGAAUUGUUCUUCAUUCUAUUGCAGUUAUCAAUAGAAUGUCCAGUGAUCUUACACUUAGAGCAGAAGGCCGGGAGUUGUUCGAAUUCAAAUUCGACGUGAAAGGAACGUUCUUCCCCGUCAACCAGCAAAGCCUCCGGAAGAGGACGCGAGAGAUCAAUUUCCAACAAAAUUCUAGCAUAAUGUCCAGCAGCACCACGUGCAGAAGCCCCAUCAACUUUAAUGGGCGAUCCCAUCGCCCUUCCAAUACCCGUAAUGACAUCCAGAGUCCAAAAUUCUAAGGGCAAAUAAUAAAUGCGCAUCCAAACUUCACAAAGUGAGGAAAUUUCUUUAUAGGGAUCGAAGAAUCUUACCCAUUCGCGUAAUCGCAUGGUUCCGAAAGGUAACUCCCAAGAGGUGCUUUUCUGAACUAACGCCUUGUCUUCAGCGGUAUUAAAUUUAAUAGUGUAGAAGCUCUUUCCCAUGGGAUGAUUUGCCAAUCAUUGUCAAAAUUCCAAGCCACCUGAAGAUCACGUUUAAGAUCCGUGAGGAGACGCGGCUUCUCUCCUUUCCUAAGGAGAAGACGACCAAUUAAAGCAUGCUCAAAUUGAUUUAUCUUGGGCAGCAGAUGCUCUUUUGGCACCCUAAGCGUUGGUAUUUCACCAGAGAAAUCUGGUUGCAGCGAAGUGAAGCGAUGAACAAGCACAUCCGGCGUACGUUCAAUUUGUCGGGGUCUCCUCAGAAGCGAAGCAAAAGAAGUGGUGCUCGGCCGAUGAAGCUCCGUCGCCGAUGCAUUCUUAGUAUUGUUUUCAUUGAUCAAAUUCGGAACCCUAGUAUUCGAUGUCGUCGGCGUAGAUUCCUCAGCCACACCCUUAGUAGAUUCAGCAGCAAAUUUCUCUUUGUCGUGACAUUCUCCAUGGCUAUGACUAGAGAAAUUAUUGGAAACUUUCGGCAGAUUCAGCCCUGACUUAUCAACCAAUAUCGACAACUGUUGUUGGUUGAUUUGCAUGGUUGGCGUCGAUGACUUGCUCGUCGACGUUGGCGGCAUCGGUUGGUCGUUCGACGGCGUGCCGGCGAUCUCAGCAAAGAAAUCCAUUUUCCUGAAGGGAGCGGACCUUCACCAAUGGCUGCAGGGCGGAGGCGGAGGUGGCGAACGCCGGGUGGCGGAGCCACCAGAUCGGGCCACCUCGAAGAAGAGCCCUCGCGGUGGGGAGUCUGGAGAGGACUCCGAUCUGGUUCCAGUGCGUGGAUGGGCUCGGCGCGGCGGAGAGUGGCACGGCCCGGUGGACAGGGGCCUCAGGGAGGCGGAUCGUGGCGCAGAUCUUGCUGGGAAAUGACGAACCAGCAGCAGCAGCUCACGAUCCAGCAGCAGCUCCAGCAGCAGGCAGCGCGGCGACCGGUGCAGAUCCAGCAGCAGUAGCGCGGCGACCGGCGAUCUGGAACGGCCGGGCGUGGCUGGUCAGGCGUCGAUGAAGGUCAACGACCUGUGCAGAUUAAUCUGCUCUGCUGCAACGGGAGGAAGACGACGCCGACUGCUGUUGCUGCUUGCUGCAACGGAGGAGAUCUGCUCACGCCGGCUGCUGCAACUGCUCUGCUGGUCACGCCGCUGCUCACGGAGAAGGGACUGCGGACGCCGGAGCUCGGAAACGUAGGCGAGCAAAGGCAGGGGCUGCUCGGUGUCUGGGCCGCGACCGAGCGUCUCGCGUCUGCGUCUGGGUCUAGCUCGGCGGCACUCCGGUGGGAAGAGGCGGGUGGCGCUCAGGUGGGAAGUGGCGCGGUGGCCCGGCGGAAAAAAGUCUUCGCAGCUCCUAAUAUUAGGCUAUAUAAGCUCGAGCUAGUGUAGGUUUAACUACUAUCUUGCAUUCCAUGUACAUAAGGAAUAAUGUUACAUAAAUAUCUUAGUAUAAUUUGUUGUAACACAAAUGACGUUUUAUAAUUCAUUGACGAACAAUUGUAAUCAUUUAAUUUCCCGCAUACACACAAAUUACUAAAUUACAUUGUAAUUAGCAAAUUUUUCUAGUAAUGUUAAUAUAUGUUCUUUUUUUGCCCCAAAAAAAUUACACACUUUCAUAUGUUCUUCUAGACUUUAUAUUUUAUUUUUCAUUAUUCAAGCUUAAGCUAUGAGUUUCUAUUUGGCAUUUAAUUGGAUUGUUAUGAUUUAAUUCAUAAUCAUGAUAAUUUGACACCAAACUUUCAAACUAAGGAUCUAUCUGAUAUUAAAAUCUCUCGUGUCAAAAUUGUCAUGGCUCAAUCUAAUCUUAAUAUACAUAAAAUAAAAUAGUAACACUAUAACAACCGAUAGCUAGGGAGUGAAUUUAAGAUAUUAUCAGGGGCAUAAUAGGGAGUUCAUAUCUUAUUUAUAUAUUUACUUGUUUUUUUUUUGGGCUAUCAACAAUAAAUUCUUAGCGAGAAUAAUAUUAUUAGCCGAUUUAGAGGUUGGCUUUAAUGUGCUAUUGAUUUUGAAUAAAAUUAUGCAGUUCCCUCUGCUUUUAUUAAAUGUCAUGUUACACUUUGUAAUCAAAUGGGAUCAUUUGUUCCAAAAUAUAGUGUGUACCACGUGUACCAUUCUUCAUUUUUUUAUAUUUUUAAAUUAUUUUUUAUUCAAUUUUAAUUUAUUAUGCUUUUAUAUAAUAUAAAUAUAAUUAACAAGGGUGGGUUCACUCAUCCAUAUAGAGUUUAUAAUUAUUUUUUUAUAUUUAUUUGAAUUAAUAAUAGAUUAUUUGGCUUCAUUAAUUCAAAGUUAGGGUAUAUGAUUUUUUAAAUUUUAAUUUUUCAAUGAUAAUUAAUAUUAAUUAGAGUUUAUAAUAUAAUAAUAAUUUUUAUUUUUAUAAAAAAUAAUUUAUAAAACAAAGAAAUGAAGAAUGGUACACAUGGUACACACAAUAUUUUGGGAUAGAGGAUCCCAUCUGCUCUGCAAUGUGCUAUCGAUUUUAAAUAAAGUUAUGUAGUUCCCUCUGUUUCGCUCCUCUGAUAUGCAAACACCAUGCGGUGCAUUCACAAUAAAUUUUGAUGGUUGAAAAUUUCUAUCCUUCUUAUUUUAUUUAAUAACUAAGUCUUGUUUUAACAUUUUCAUAUAUAUAUGUGUGGGGAGAGCUAGAAUAAAAACACUCUUAAGUGUAUAAAAUAUAAAUGAUUUUCAGCCCUUAGAUCAUCAAGAUCUACGGUUGAUUCGUAACCCUGUUGGAUGAAUUCGUGGUCCUGAGUUCGAAUCCCAAAGAUAACAAAAAUUUAUUUUUCGCAAUUCGUAACUCUGUUAGAUAAAUUCAUACGUGUUCUACAUAAAAUUCGUACAUUAAGAAACAUUUAUAUUUUAUACACUUAAGAGUGUUUUUAUUCUAGCUCACCCCUAUAUAUAUAAAAUGAUCAUGUAGAUCCCCUUCUUAUUGUGAUACUUCUUCCGUCCCAACUAUAAUGAGACUCGUUUUUUGGACACGGGAAUUAAAAAAUGUGUUGUUUUGUGUGUAAGUAAAAAAGUGAAAAGAUGAUUAAAGAGUAGAACUUUUAUCCCCCCUCCCCCCCAAAAAAAGUCACAAGAUAGGUGGGACGCCUAACAAGGAAAGAAUCUCAAGAUAGGUGGGACAGAGAGAGUAUAUAAAUUCAAAUAUAUAACACAUAUUAUGUGUAUGUGGCGCAUUAAAAAUGUGACAGAGAUCUUCCAAGGCAUUUCAAGAAAAAAUAUACACUAAUGGGUAAAAUAGGAAAUAAUAAUAAUAAUAAUUUUUAUUUUUUUUUUCUCAUCGCUCGCGAAAAUAUGCAACAUAAAUAUGUAUAUAGUUUAAAUACAAAUAUGCAUGUUGUUACAUACAGAUAUGUAUAAUGUUGUCGCAUGAAUAAUUCUUAAUAUAUUUCCUGAAGGGUCGCCUAGUGGCUAGUGCAAUAGAUAUUUGUGUGCGAUGUUAUGUAUGUAUGUAUUUAAUAUAUAUAAAUAUAUAAGUUCAAUUAUAUGCACAAUUAAGGCGACGAGCGGUGAGCAGCAGGUAAGAGGCACUUGACGGGUCACCUAGUGCAAUGCAUAUAUGUAUUUAUGUAUAUGCAUAUUUGUCUUUAAUUAUAUGCAUAAUUAAGGCGGAGAGUAGCGACGAGAUGCACCUGACGGGUCAUUUAGUACUAUGCAUAUUUGUAUGUAACUAUAUAUAUAUAUAUAUAGGAAGAGGUUACUAAUAUAAAACCUCUGUUAAAUGAGAACUAGGAACCUAAUCUUGACCCUUUAAAUUUUAGAUCUAGUGGUUAGGAUUUAUUCACUUAAAAAACACGCCUAUUUUCUAGUGAUUAAGUUGAUAGUGUCGUCCUUUUCUUUUCAAUUAAUUAGGAGGUUAGUUAAGUCUUUUAUAAUAUUCUUAUUUAAUUAAAGAGCCAUUAAUAGUAGUGAAUUUUAUUUGUUCAUUGUUCCACGCCUAUUUCAACGCACCAAAUCAAUCUAUGCAUUUGUAAUUUCAGCUAUGCAACAUAAUAAAAUAACUAUGCAUUUACAAAUAUCUGGUGUGUACUAUUAACAUUAUCUAAUUAAACACGUCUAGUUGUUCCAUGCCUAUUUUAAUUGUGUUGCAUUCCAUUUUAUUUUGUUGCAUAAUUAAUUAUAUCAUUCAUUAUAAUUAUAUGUAGAUUUCAUGUGCACAGUAAAUUAAAAUCAUUGCACAUAUGUGUGAAUGCAUACAAUUGCAUAGUAAAUAUAUAGUUGCAUAACAUGUUAUUGUGUUGCAUAAUUAUUUUAUCACUGUUGCAUGAAUCAUUUUUGUGUUGCAUAAAACAUAGUUGGUAUCUGAAGCUGCAUAGUUGUUGUAGUGUACUAUGUUGCACAAAUGAAAAAUAUAAAUGCAUAAUGUGUUCAUUUUAAUUGCAUAUGCAUAGUUGGUAUUUGAAAUUGCAUAGUUGAUGUAGUGUCCAGUGUUGCACAAGUAAAAAAUUGAAAUNNNNNNNNNNNNNNNNNNNNNNNNNNNNNNNNNNNNNNNNNNNNNNNNNNNNNNNNNNNNNNNNNNNNNNNNNNNNNNNNNNNNNNNNNNNNNNNNNNNNNNNNNNNNNNNNNNNNNNNNNNNNNNNNNNNNNNNNNNNNNNNNNNNNNNNNNNNNNNNNNNNNNNNNNNNNNNNNNNNNNNNNNNNNNNNNNNNNNNNNNNNNNNNNNNNNNNNNNNNNNNNNNNNNNNNNNNNNNNNNNNNNNNNNNNNNNNNNNNNNNNNNNNNNNNNNNNNNNNNNNNNNNNNNNNNNNNNNNNNNNNNNNNNNNNNNNNNNNNNNNNNNNNNNNNNNNNNNNNNNNNNNNNNNNNNNNNNNNNNNNNNNNNNNNNNNNNNNNNNNNNNNNNNNNNNNNNNNNNNNNNNNNNNNNNNNNNNNNNNNNNNNNNNNNNNNNNNNNNNNNNNNNNNNNNNNNNNNNNNNNNNNNNNNNNNNNNNNNNNNNNNNNNNNNNNNNNNNNNNNNNNNNNNNNNNNNNNNNNNNNNNNNNNNNNNNNNNNNNNNNNNNNNNNNNNNNNNNNNNNNNNNNNNNNNNNNNNNNNNNNNNNNNNNNNNNNNNNNNNNNNNNNNNNNNNNNNNNNNNNNNNNNNNNNNNNNNNNNNNNNNNNNNNNNNNNNNNNNNNNNNNNNNNNNNNNNNNNNNNNNNNNNNNNNNNNNNNNNNNNNNNNNNNNNNNNNNNNNNNNNNNNNNNNNNNNNNNNNNNNNNNNNNNNNNNNNNNNNNNNNNNNNNNNNNNNNNNNNNNNNNNNNNNNNNNNNNNNNNNNNNNNNNNNNNNNNNNNNCGUGAGGCUGAUAUAUGGACCACGACCCAAUUCAGCCCAACUAGAUAUGGGCCUUAGAUUCAGCCCAACUAGCUGUGGGCCUUAGAUUCUCUCUCUUUUUUUUUUUUUUUUUUGAGAGGGCCUUAGAUUCUUAUGUAGUACUAAAACACUUUGCAGACACUCUGACCAAACGAUCUCACCUCACAUUACAUCUAGUAGCUGCUCGAUAUCUCCGAUAAGCGGCGGCGGUCGUGGUGGAGGGAAGAUGAAAAGGGAGAGAAGAGUCGUCGGAAGCGUUCGGGUUGGGAGUGAUGGGAAAGGCUUCCUUCUGCUACGGGAAAUUCCUUUCCUAUUCCUCCCAUACCGAAGGUUUCCGAUCUAUCCUCCCCUUUCCUUCCUACUUCUUCCUCUUCUUUCAAAUUGUAUCUAGUAUUAGAUCUGCUCUUGUUUCUCCAUUUCCCGUGCUACUUAGUUUUUUGGUAUGAAUUUUGCUGAUGGAUCAACUUGAUUGAAUUGUUUCUCCAUUUCCCGUGCUUCUUUGAAAUUGUAUCUAGAAAUUAUUGAUGUUGUCCUAAUUAUUAGGUUUAUCAGUAUUUACAACAAUGUUUGGUGCUUUUUGAUUGUUUGCUCGCUUUUGGAAUUAAUUGCUGGAUAUCUCAGUCGCUAUUAAUAGUUUGCUUAUUAAGUGUUGCUAUAAAUAAAUAGAUUCCAGUUUAAAACUUUUUUUUUUGAGAGAAGAUUCCACUUUAAAACUUAUUCCAAUAGCAACUCGUCAUCCUUUUUUAUGGAUCAAAUUCCGUCAAUCAAUGUUGUGCGUUUGGAUUACCAGAAAACAUUCAUGAGUAGCAGACUUUCUAUAAAAGAGAAAUCUUUUUCAAUUAUUUCCUCCGUCGAUUUAGGCUUUUGAUAAAGGGGGUGAAUGGAAUUUUCACAUAUUAUUGAGUAGGUAGUUGGUCAUAUCUGAAGCUAUUCACUUUAUUGUGGCUAAUCAUUCUGGUUGCAACAUUUCUUUGACUAACUUUUAAUUAGCUUUAUUUGUUUGAAUCCAAGUUAGCUGAUGAGAUAGAGCUUCUUUGUAACAUGCUCAAAUCUAGUGUUAUGUUCUCUUGGUUGAAUAGGUUCUUGGACUCAUAUGUUAAUACUGAAAAUAAUUAAUCUCCGAACAUCACGUGCUUGUAAAAACUUGUAAGAAAGAUUACAGUUUUCCUGUGUACAUGUUCAUCUCUGUCUCUGUUGCAUCAUAGACUUGAGAGUUGCUACCUUUGGAAGAAAAAACUCGGCUGGCCGGUCAUAUUGGAUUAUGAGACAUUUCUGUACCAUUAAAUCUUUGUAUGUUUGUGAAUGCACUAGGCGGAGCAUGUCUACGAGCAUGCCCUCUUAGCCCCUCAUCCCUAUUUAAACUUUAAAACUCUCCCAUGUCCAAUGCACAUCUAGGGUAUUUAUAGUGUGCCCCAGGAAGAUUUUAGAAGUCGGCCAAAUAUGUGCAGGAUGGACCGUUACUUCAAAAUCUAAAUCGUAGAAAAAGAAAAACCUUGCUUAUUUCAUAUGUGAAACUGAUGAUAGGAUUGUUCAUAUGAUUAUAUUUUAUGCAAGGAGUGGAUAUCCCCUCAUCUGAAGUUUUCAAUUGUGCUGUGCCUUUCAUGCUUUCUGGUUAGUAAAACCUAUGAAUUAGGGAAUGUGACAUAUAUUAUUGUAAAAAGUUCUGCUGCUUGGCUGAUUAUAUUUGAAAUAAUAAAGUGGAAUAGAUCCAACUAAUUCACCAUUAAAUGGCUGAGGUAUGAAACUAGUUUUUCUCUUUGCACUGUUGCACAUAGUACUCUUGUUUCCAUCAUGAUCAGAUGAUAAUGUGAUCUUAAUUUGAAUCUUCAAUUUUCCUUCUUUGCUGAUUUCAUGAUCCUUUGCUUGUGUUUCUUGCAUAGGAGAACAAGGGCUGGGCGAACACCAUUUGAUUAUGAAGAUCGCUUUCAUUUGGUGAAAGAUACAAAUUAUUCUAAAUAAUUUGCAUAUUCAACUUUGCCCUUUACUGUUGUCCUUAGUGAUGGAAGAAUAUACUAGUUUUUUUAUAUAUAUUUUUCAAAUGAAUCUUUUAAGGGGACUAUGUUUUUAGCUCGUUAUUUGAAGCAUGUUCUUUUCUUUUGUCUUUUAGGAAAAUCACCACCACUCAUAGACAUGAAAAUGGAUUGUAGCAAUGUGUCAUUAAACUGAAAAAAGUGCAUAGAUUUGAAAUUUUGGUAUUAGUGCUUAUCACUAAGUCGUUGUAGAUAUCGUUGGCUGGCGUUGCACUUGCAAAAUUAUCUUAGGGUUAAUUACAAUAAUAAUAGUGCUGGUCUAAUAAGAAAGUAAUCUUGGUUUAAAAUAAAUCGAUAAAAAAAAAUUAUAUGAGUAUUUGGCCAUUGAUUACAAUUCAUUAGUGACUCAAACACCGUAUCAAAGAUUAAAAAAGGGAUUAUGGUUUAAAACAUGUACAAUUUUUUUUAAAAAAAAAAUUGUAAUUUUCUCUUGAAUUUUCAAUUAAGCAAAAAAAAUAUAUGAAUUUAUAUUUUUAUUGCAAUUUUCACCCAAGUUUGACUUUCAAUGAAAUUAUAACUUAGUUGACAGUCGAAUUUAAGUCAAAUAUAUUAAAUUUUACCUUUUUAGACCUCCGAGCUUCUAAACACUCAUCAUCAUCAGAAGUUAGACAAACAUCAGGUAAUCUUUCGAUUGUCAACUAAGCUCUAAUUUUUGCCGAAAAUCAAAUUCAGGUAAAAAUUUCAACAAAAAUAUAAAUUUAUGUAUUUUUUUAUUUAAUUUAAAAUUCAUGUGAAAAUUAUAAUUUUUUCAGAGUUCAUGUAUUUUUUGUCUACAAAACCCAAAAAGAAUAAUUAACUUUUGGAUUGAUAUAUAGUUUUAAUGAUUCGUACAUAAUCCCCUUUAAAAAAAUAUGGUUCGUACAUAAUAGCAAUAUAUUAUUGAACUCGAAUAAUUUUUUACGCCCAAACAGUUUGUCUCUUUCUAAAAAGAUUGAUCCAUGAGAAUGAUGACGGUAAAUUUCAAGGUACGACGUGUAAUUUUGUCCAUUUCUAUUUUGCAUGUUUCUUUUAGCUUUGAUUCUUUUAUUUUGUCCUAAUAAAUAAAAACAUACACACCGCACCUCUGUACGAAACGCAAAAUAUAAAAUUUUUACUAUUAGUUCUCUAAAAAAAAAAUUAAAAAUUUUUUACUAUUAGUUGACAAAUGCAUCCUUAAAACAUUGUUAUUGUAAAUAUUAUUAUGAUAAUCAAGACAAUGAACAGUCCAGAUAUAUCGACUUCACAACAUCAUUAACAAACACCAACAUUUGUAUUAUGCUAUUGGAUUUGUUAAUACUUCCAUUAGCUAACUAAUCUCCCUACAUCUCACCUAAUCCUUAUCAACAUUUUCAACCAGAAAAAAAAGAUCCCAUCCAUUCACAAAUCGUCUUCCUCAGCAUACUCUCUUAACAUCUCGCAUUAAUUAGCUGAAAUCCUUAGUUAUGAGUUCUUCAUCUCAAUCACAAAAUCUUGAUGUAACCUUGUCACUAAGCUUGCCACCAAGAAAUGAAGGCCUAAACCCCCAAGAGAGGGGUAUCAAGCUGAUCCAGCUCUUGCUAAGUUGCGCCAACCACGCCUCCUCCGGCAACCUCCACCACGCCGACACGUGCCUCCGCCACAUAUCGGAGCUUGCCUCCGUCACCGGCGACUCCAUGCAGCGGCUAGCCGCUAGGUUUGCCGCAGCCUUGGCGGCCCGGCUACUCAAGCGAUGGCCGGGCCUUUACAAGGCCCUGAACAAUGGUGGGCUUGUUGGUUUCGAUGUGGAUCGGGCCAGGUCCAUUUUCGCUCGGGCUUUUCCUUGUUUGGGCUUCGCCUACGCAGUUAUAAACCGGACCUUGAUUCAAGCCUUGUUGGGGGAGCGUGAGGUCCAUGUUAUUGAUUUGGGCUGUGGUGACCCGAAACUGUGGGUUCCUUUCGUUCGGGCCAUGGCGGAUGGGCCCAAUGGGCCGCCGCGUUUGAAGAUCACAUCCGUCGGUAUAAACAAAGAGGCCCAAGAGAGAUUGGAGGGAAGGAUUUUGAAAGAGGCUCAGAGUUUGAAAAUGGAAAUUGUGUUGAACCAUGUUGAUGCUAAGCUUAGGGAUUUGAGUUUGGACAUGCUCAAGGUCAAACCAGGUGAAGCGUUAGCGUUGACUUCGAUUUUGAGCCUUCAUGUCCUAUUGGCCGAGGACGACGGCGUGGACGCGCGUUUUGGGCUACGGAGCAAAAGCAACCAAGUGAGCGAGUGCAAGCGAAUGGUGGAGUUUCUUGAAAUGGUGAGAUCGGUUGGGCCUAAAGUCGUGUUGCUAGUCGAGCAAGAGUCGAAUCACAACUCGAGCCGUCUAGUGGAUCGCUUCGUGGAAGGAUUACACUUCUACAGUGCCUUAUUUGAUCUGAUAGAUGCUACAUUCGGUGCAUUAUCGUGCUCGAAUCGAGCAACCCUAGAAGAAAUGUUCGGGCGCGAAAUCGAGAAUAUCGUGGCGGGAGAAGGGUUGGAGAGGGAGGCGAGGCACGAGAGAUAUGCAAAGUGGGGGAUUAGGUUUACAACAAGUGGGUUUAGACCCAUUCAUUUGUGGUAUGACUCAAUGAAGGAGGCCCGAAAAGUGGUUGAGGCCUACGGGCCGAGGGGGUUUAGCAUAAUUAGUGAAAGGGGGAGUUUGAUGAUUUGUUGGCAUGAUAGGCCUAUUUAUGCAGUAUCAGCUUGGAGCUUGUUCUAGCAAUAUUUCUUUCUUCAUUGUCAUUUUUAUUGUUUUGUAAUUUUGUGUUCUUUAUCAAAGGUAUAUAAAAUAUUUAUGUACAAGUAAAUGACAAAAUGUGGAUAUUAUUAGCGUCGGCAUGAUAUUUCACUAUUGAAACGACAUACAUAUCAUAUGCGCGAUAAUAAGUGAAGUAUUUAGUAUUCCCUCCGUCUCAAGUAAUUUGAUCAGUAUUUCUUUUUACGUCGUCCUAACUAAGUGAUCAAUUCCUUAUAUUGAAUGAUUUUUCCACUUUAUUCACUAGCUCUAUUCAUUUUAUUACCCAACACACUCAAAACACUAAACAAUAACUCUUUAAAUCUCGUGCGAAAAAAAAUUGAUUUUGUUCUAUCUUCUUCACCCUCUGUGCCCCCUCUCCUCUUUUUCUCCGCCUCAUUUUUGUUUUUUGCUCAAGGAAGAUCACGGCGACAAAGACGUUAUGUGGCGGCGUCAUCCCAUACCUUUCUUAUCUACUCUUCUUCGCCGCCUCCGCCUCUCCAACCACCUAAAUCAGGAGAUGCAACAGUCGCUUAAGAGCUCAACUCACACAACAAUGACACGACGGAAGAUGGAGCUCGAGCUGUUCCAAUCGGAGUUGCUGAAAGACCUCUCCAGCUGCGUCCAUCCGCCGCGAUUCGUGCUGGAGGCAAUCUCCAAUUUGAAGUUAACUUGAAGAGUUUUAGUUGUAAUGAAAUAGAAAUAAAGUCUUAUUCCUAUUAAGAUUCUUAAUGUUUUUAGACUAUAAUAUAAACAUAUAUUUAUUGUAAAACACACGGUACGCUACACAAUACACUACACAUAAGUAAUUCUUAAUUUACUAAUCAAUAUACAAAGUUCUAAAGUUUCAACUACAUUCAUGUUUUUCUUACAUUCUUUUAGUGAUGCUAUUUUUUAGCAUAGCAAUACCAGAACAAAUAGUAGUUUACUUUUUAAUAGGAGUUGAAUCAAGAUUGGAAUAUAUAAAUUCUUAAUAUAUAAAAUUUAAUAAAUUUCCGUUUUAAUUUAUCUGAAACUUCAAUCCAUAUCAAACUUUUAGUAAUUUUUAUCCAUUGAAAAAUCUAUAGUAUGUGUUUUUUAAUAUUAUUUAAAUUUCAAUUUUUUUUCACCAAUUAAAAAACUAAUAUAAAAGAACUAGUUAUGAGUAUAUUUUUGAAUACAUAUUAUUUUGAUAAUUUUUAGUGAACAACUUUUUGAUACUAUAAUCUAAUAAUUUUAUCAAUAUAUUAGUUAAUGAUUUCUCAUCUAUCUUCGAAGCACUAUACCAGUACCAGUGUGAUUAAUUAAAAAAACGAUAAUAACUGUACAAAAAAAGCCCAAGAAAGUUUAUAAAUAGUUAAAACUUUACUUAUAUUCUUCUUUCUAUUUUACAAAUGGCAUCAUAAAGAAAAGUCCAAGAAAGUUUAUGAGUCGUUAAAAACAUGCUUACAGUAGUAUUAUUCAUAUUUAUUUCUAUUUUACAAAUGGCAUUAAUUCAUGGAAUAUUUACGAAAGACUUUAUUUCUGACAAUAAGUUAUUUAUAAUAUCUCAUAUUUAUUUUUAUUAUUUUAAAAUAUAGUACCAACAUUUUUACCAUAAUUGGCAUUAAAAAAGAAAAUCCUUGGAGAAGUAGUGACGUUAGUGGGCAGUUGAGAGUCUUCCUCUUUCAAAACCCUUGUUUUCUCACUCUUAAUUCUUCGUUAACGAAAUCCUCAUCCCUGUUUGUCCGCACACAUCACGCACCAUCGCAGGUAGGGUUUCUGCAAAUUCCAAUUUCACUGAACGCAAUCACACGUAGCUCUCUCAUGCCAAUUCUUUUAUUGUCUGAAUCUCAUGUUUUCCAAUUAUUGGCUGGAAGCAGAAGUCUCAGGUUUUCGCUUCGGCCAUUCCUCCGCAGCUGCCAUAGCCACUGCGAAGAGUCUGCUCAAGUUAUGUCUGCUUCCGAUGAAAAAAUUGGAGACGAAGAGAAGCACCAUACGGGUGCGCCGGAAGCAGCUUCGUCGGAUAUCAAUGAUUACAAAGUGAUCAAGGAAGGGGAGGCUGAGAUUCUAAUGCGCGUUGAAAAUGAAGUCUUUUAUAACAAGGCUCAGGUUUGUAGAGAUCUUUGCUUGUUAAGUUGCGUUAAUCGUUCAUGUUUAGUUAAGGCUUGCUUUGAGGUGUAUAUCUGUGGAUACAUAAUUGGUACCUAGUAAUUAGCUACGUUGAAUUUGAUUACAAGAUUUGUGAGCUUAUCUUUUGUUUAUUUCAUUGAGAUAGAGAGCAAAACCAAUGGUCCUAAAUAACUUUUGUUUUUCUUAAAAAUCCCAAAUUGGCCCCUUUUUCUAUGAGCAAUCUGUUGGUUAUUUAAAAGUUGAAGUUUGUUCUGGUGCGUGUAUGAUUGGGAGGAGUUUGAGCUUCGAAAUUUGAUGCCAGGUUAAUAACAGAGACAUGUCUCUUGCCGUUUUGAGGACAUUUAUAUCAAAACGCCAGCAAGAACAUGAAGCUAGGCUGCUUUCCAGGAAAAUGAAAAGUAGAGCAAAAGAGGUUGCUGAACCUAUUGUUGAAUCGAAAUCUGUGGAGCACGAUGAAAAAUCUAAUGGGGAAUGUGAUGUCCCUCAAGAUAUAUCUCAAGAUGAACCCUGCAGCAUCUUGGAGAACGCAGCAACCAAUCAAGGGGGAAAGGUCCCCGAAGAAUUGAAGCCGGCACGAGUUUUGGAGGUCGUUAUUGAGUUCACGUUGCUUAUGUUGUUUCACAUUGGGAAUAACUAUACUACUAGUUCCAUACGUUGUUGUAUCAUUUGAUAACAUGCUUCACUUGUUUGACAGGCAUUGUCAGCCUCUGGUCUUAGAGCUUUAAGAUAUGCUCGUGAAGUAGAGGGAAUUGAGAAAGUUGUGGCCCUGGAUAAUGAUAAAGGUAGUUCUAUAUUUCUCAUUCAGUAAUUAUGCAACACAAAUAGAGGUGGAGUGGUUUCUUCUCUUUUGUUUUUGCUCGGGUUUUGUUGUUAAUAUGACAGGAUCCAGGAUAAAAUGCUGAUAUUACACUUCUUCUGCAGCGUCUGUUGAAUCUUGCAGAAGAAAUAUUAAAUUAAAUGGUUCAGUCGCAAGUUCAAAGGUGGAGUCACAUCUUGCUGAUGCUAGAGUCUACAUGCUUACUCACCCUAAAGAAUUUGACGUGGUAUGUAUUCUGGAGGUCAAAGCAUCCUAUUUUGCGAUCCAUGUUGUGUUGAACUAAGAGGGGAAGUGCAGCUGAAAUUCUGAUAUUAUUAGACCAGAAGGGAACCCACCCUGUCUUAUGUAACAUGAAAAGGAUGUCAUAGGACCGAGGCUGUCAUUUCCACAUAAUUGUGCUGUCUUUACAGCCUGUCCGACUUGACAAAUUUCACUCUUUGCAUUAUAACAUUUACAUAUUAUAUCACUUCAUUCAACCUUUUGACACAUUAUUAUAUUACAGGUUGAUCUCGAUCCUUAUGGUUCACCAUCCGUUUUCCUUGACUCUGCUGUUCAAUCAGUUGUUGAUGGGGGCAUAUUGAUGUGUACAGCAACAGAUAUGGCAGUGCUUUGUGGGUCUAAUGGCGAAGUUUGCUAUACCAAGUAAGAUUGAUUUUUAAGAAAUCAUUUUUCCUGAUCUUUGGAAGUUGAAAGUAGUAGUAUUUACUAGAUGCUUGUUGAACUAGAUAUGGAGCUUAUGCAUUGAAAGGAAAAUAUUGCCAUGAGAUGGCGUUACGGAUCCUUCUUGCAUGUAUUGAGGUCAGUUGAUUUUACUGAGUUAUUCUGUUAUAUAAUUGGAAAUUUUAGUUCCUAGGUAACUGUGAAUGCACUCUAAUAUGACUUCCCUUGAGCUACUUUUUUCCUCUUUCUGUACUGGUCCUUGACUCCUUGAUGUUUUCAUUCUGUAUCGACUGUUGACUCCAGGACUUUGGUGUUUUACUUUGUUAAUUCAUGGUGAAUAGAAACACUAAUUCACGUAAUAUAACCAUUAUGCAGAGCCAUGCAAACCGCUACAAGCGUUACAUUGUUCCUGUGCUAUCUGUUAAAAUGGAUUUCUAUGUACGAGUUUUCGUCCGUAUAUUCACGUGAGUAUUUCUCUUCAAAUAUCUCAGUUAAAUUAAUACAGCUAACAUGAUUGGGUCAUAGAUGGUCAAUUCACGAUUUUUUAAUUCACUAGCCUAAUUCAUGGACAUAAUUUUGCAGCUCCGCAAGUGCAAUAAAGAACACUCCUCUGAAGCUGUCCUAUGUUUAUCAAUGCAUUGGCUGUGAUUCUUUUCAUCUUCAGCCAAUUGGAAGGACUGUCUCCAAGGUAAAGAUUGAAUGUUUUCAGAUACUUAUGUGAUGCAUAGACAUGGUGGCAAUGACUAGUGAACUUAAACAUUCAUAGUGCUUGGUCACUUCUCGAUUUGUAUGCAAAUGCCUGAAAUUGUGCUAUCAUUCUUUGCAUAAAAUACCUUAAAUAAGCCAAUUAUUAAGUAUCUCACUGAAUAUUUUUCCCUCUUUUAUGUUGAAUCUAGAAUACCAGUGUGAAAAAUCUUGCUGGAUUUGGUCCUGUUGUCGCCCAAGAAUGCAGUGAUUGUGGCAAGAAAUACAAUAUGGGUGGGCCCAUAUGGUCUGCUCCAAUCCAUGAUAUGGAAUGGGUUAAUUCAAUUCUAGCAGAUGUGAAGUCUAUGAAGGACCGGUAUCCUGCUUUUGAUCGGAUUUCUGCUGUAUUAACUACAAUUUCUGAGGUAUGCCUCCCGUCACUAACUUUUCAGUCAGUGGUUAUAUUGUAAGGAUUAGGAAUCACUGCUGUAAAAUUUAGGACACCACAUACAUAGAAACCUCAUCAAGAAUUUUCAUAAAAGUGAUGUAUUCAUACCUGUGAUUUUUAGUAGAACAGCUUCGACCUUGUUGGUGGUUUUAUUAUUGACACGGUAAAAAGUUUUAGCUUUGAUUUUGUGAUAGACUACUACUCGAGCGACUUACAGACUACCGAACCUUUUAUUAAUAUCAUAAGAAAUGUAUAAUGUGCUAUCCUCUUUGAUUUAUACACAAAAUUAAUAAUGGAUCAACGACUUAGGUCUUGUCUCUACCAUUUCCAUACUUAUGAUCAAAAUUUACAUCUUUCUCUUUCCAUUUAGAUUACAUAUUCAAUUGCAAAUUCUUUUUCAAAUGUGAUUUAGGUUUGCAGUAAUGAUCAAUUUAUUGUGGCGGAGUUAUUUCAGAAGUUAUUGUUUCCUGUUUUAGCAGCACCAAUCUUUCAUUUCCCCCGAAGUAGUUUAAGUUAUUGGCUGAAAAAUCUUGUAACUUGUCCUUGUCAGUGCUUUCCGAAGAUGGAAAAUGUGGAGCAUGUUUUGAUUUGUGUGCUUAGGUUGUAUUAAUGCAUAUUACUGGUAUUGCAGGAGUUACCGGAUGUUCCACUAUUUCUGAGUCUGCACAGCCUCUGUGCAACAUUGAAAUGCACAUCUCCCUCUGCAGUUAUAUUUCGUUCUGCUGUGAUUAAUGCGGGAUAUCGCAUAUCAGGAACUCAUGUAAAUCCGCUAGGUUUGAAAACGGAUGCUCCUAUGGAUGUUAUAUGGGAUAUCAUGCGCUGCUGGGUAAGAACAAUGUUUCUAUUUCUCGUUAUGGUCGAAAAUUAGUAUGCCUUUGCUUUGUUUGGCAAAUCAAAUAGAAAAAGACUGUCCCUUCUGAAAUUUCAAUGAGAAAACAAUGCUUCGAUGUCAGAAUCUCCGAUGCUUCUAUGAAUUGGAUAAAUUUAGUCAAUAGGAUAGAAGAAAACAUACCUACCUGGAGUGAAGAUGCAUAAUGUUGUAGGUGCUUACAAAACUUGUUUUCAAAUUUCAAAUGUAACUUUUCCCCAUUACCUAGGAUAUAAAAGAAUUGACGAUGUUUUCUUAUUCCCAGGUGAAAAAUCAUCCUGUGAAAGCUCAGCCAGCCGAGCAGGCUGGAAGUGUAAUCCUCGCCAAGGAACCUGUUCUGCAGGUAUUGACUUGCGCUGCAUCUGUAGACUUUUAUCUUGAUUUUUAUUUCUUCAUGAUUUUGAGGAACAUAUGAUAGUUUUCAUUUACUGGAAGUUGAUUGAGUCAGAUAUUAUAUGUUGGUUUACUUUGUCGAUUGGCAGGUUAAUUUUGCACGAGCUGUCGCGUCCCUUAGCAAAGCACAGGCGAAAAAGGUAGCAAGAUUCCUCCCCAAUCCCGAGAGGCAUUGGGGGCCUAAGGUCAGGGCCGGUCGUAAGAUUACGAGCAAGCACGCCUCACUUCUGGGCGCAGAGGUAGUGAACGGACUGCAGAAGCACGAGGAAGGUGAGGACGAGCCAGCAAGCAAACGUAAGAAGACGGAAGAAUCUACUCCUAAUUUAUGAUAAUAGGACUCUCUGCCUUGGCCCUAGUUGCUGGGACCGCCGAUUAAUUUUCGUCUGCUGCAUUUCAUUUGCAGAGAGAAAUAUACAAGAUUCUCAGCCAUGACCAUUCAGCAUUCUACCCAAGCAUCAGUUUUGUUUUCGGGUUUUUAUCUUUUUCUAUUAUUUCACCUCUCCAACUAAACUUAUGUUUUAGAUUUUCUUGGUUUCGUCUUUAUUUAUUGAUGAGAUGAAAGGCUAUUGAAAUUUUGUUUGUGUUACUAUUUGAAUUGAAAUUUUGCUUAAUUAUAUAUAUAUAUUUUUUACCUAGAUUUCUUCGUACAGUUGAGUUGCCCCUUGAUAUUUUCCUAAUCUUAAUUUGCUUUUUUCUGUUUUUUUGAGCAAUCGUCUGGACUUAUUUAAAUGUUGAGCUUCUAUUGGUGGUCAAAAAGGUUGCCGUCUGUCCACAGCAACAGACAACCAUCAUCCAAAUUAAAAGUUAACCAAAUGUGGCGCAGCCUAUUUUUCUUUAUUUAAUAUUGUAAGUUCAUCAAAAAAAAAAAAAGUUAACCCAAUGUGAACUGUGAAGAUGAUACGAAUUUUAAUAAAAAUUAAUAAAAAAAAUAUUUGAUGGUGAGAUUAUGUGUAAAAAUAAUAUUUAAAGAAUUAUAAUUACUUUUUCCAUUUCAUCAAUUUAGCCCUUUCACUUUUUAUACAUAAUAAUAACAACAAUAAUAAUAAUAAGAAUUUGAAUAAUAAUAAUAAUAAUAAUAAUAACAAUAGUAAUAGUAAUAACAAUAAUAAUAAUAACAACAAUAAUAAUAACAACAACAACAACAACAACAACAACAAUAAUAAUAAUAAUAAUUGUUGGGGGUACGUCCAACAACUACGGAUAAGGACGUCGGGGUCGUCCUGGACGGUGGGCACUAGCAACCUGAAACCACAGAUACGUUAGAGCCCUUCUAGGAACACCGGUGGGGGUGUCGAUGGAAGGGCCUCCGACGCUCAAGUCAGUAACAGUACAAGAAAACGUAUUGAAAAGAAUUGAAAUAUAUUAAAAGGAACGACUAGAUCGGAUCGAUCGGGUCGGUGGAUCAGAGAGUCGCUCAACGAUCAGCCGGGGUCGUCGGGGCGUCCUGGAUCAACUGGUCGCUGGGAUCUCCUAGAUUGAGAGCGUGGAGGCGGAGUAGUGCGUGUGAGGAGAGAAGGCGGGGAGAAUGUGUUAAGGCGUGAAUGAUCUGAUGCGCCGAGUGACCUAGUUAGUUUUCUUAUAUAGUGUGGUGUCUUGGCGGCUAGGGUUUUUCCGGGAUGUCCGUGAAACCCUAGUUGUUCCGAUAUUUCCGGGAUCGUCUUCUUUCCCUGCUUUCUCCUCCGAGUCGUUGCCCUCUGUAGGGUUUAGUGCGGGUGGGCCUUAAUGACUCGACGUAUGGGCCGAAUUAAUUAGAAUUAAUUCGAUUUUUGGAUUGGGCUGAUUAUUUGGACCAUGAGUAUUUAUUUAAAUGGGCUAUACGAAUUUUGUCCAUUACAGUUUGUCCCCCACUCUCUAAUUUGAUAUUUACCAAAAUAGAGAGUAAAGCUACUGAGUAAUUUGAUUCGUUGUCGAGAGAUGACUUAUAAAUUCUCGAAUGGAGAUUUUCUCUAGUCAAUAAAAUUGAAAUAAUAUACGGAUCUGGGGAUCGAAGUGGUCUGUAUUCCAGUAUAUAUAUUACUGGAGUAAUUGUAUUAUAAUUGUGUAAAUGUCAAUUUGGACUAAAGAAUGAUUUAUGGCCCGUAGCCUAAUUAAAUUGAUUUGGGCUAAAAGCUUUUAACGGCUCAUAACCUAUUUAAGUUGGUCUUCAUUUUUUGUGGGCCUGGGGCAGCUUGAGUGUGUGAAUGGCCCAAAUAUUAGGCUGAUUUUCGCAGCCCACUUAAUGGGGUAUCAGAUUGGGNUAAUAACAACAACAAUAAUAAUAAGAAUAAUAAGGAUAAUAAUAAUAAUAAUAAUAAUAAUAAUAAUAAUAAAAAUAAUAAUAAUAAUAAUAAUAAUAAUAACAAUAAUUAGUUUAGGGGAGACUAAUUACAUAAGUAAUGGUGGAAUAAAGUGGGCCCAAUAGAUAAAAGUGUAGUAAAUUUAAAAGCAAGGGAGGGUAUAAUUGUCCAAAAAGCAGAGUAUGAGUUUAUUUCGUGGACGGAUGGAGUAUUUGAUGAUGAGAUCAUAUAAAAGUAAUAUUUAAAAAAUUAUAAUUACUUUCUCCAUUUCAUCAAUUUAGCCCCUUUCACUUUUUCACACAUAUUAAAAAAAUACAUCUAUUCUUAUUUAAAAAAUACAAAUUUUUAUGUUUUAUUUUUUAUAUCCUUAUGUAUUAUUUUUACACAUCAUUUUCACAUUUAAGUGAAACAUUAAAUAAGAUUAGUUUAGUAAAACAAUAUUUUUAUAUUAAAAAAGUGGAUUGUUUUUUUUUGGAUUUCCAAAAAUAGAAUAAGUGACUAAUUUCAUGAGAUUUGAUAGUGAGUUAUGUACAAAAAUAGAAAUAGAAAGUUAGUAGGCUGCGGCAAUUUUUUGGGCAUAAUUAAUUUGAUCAAAUUACAUAAUUAGAUCUAAGAAACAUAAUUCUAAUCCAGGAAAAAAAAAUCACAACUUACCGGGAUUUGAAAAAAAAAAAUCAAAUAAGAAACUCACCGAACAUUUCCCGAUGAUAUCCCUAUAUCUCUUGAACGGAACUAGCUCACCGAAGGGUAAUUUGGUCUCAACAGUAAACUAAAGGAUAAUGAAAAACAGGCUAUAAAAAAAGUUAAAACAAGCAAGCAACGUAAAACGCAUAUUCAUUAACUCAAACUAAUAUUGGAAGAGCAGUUUCUAAAACAAGCAAGUCGUUGUAGUAUAGUGGUAAGUAUUCCCGCCUGUCACGCGGGUGACCCGGGUUCGAUCCCCGGCAACGGCGCUUUAAUUUUUUAAAUAUCUAAUUUUAGUUUUAGUUAAUUAAAAAUAUCUGAAAGAAGACACAUACACAUCUGCUAGUUAGAUUUUUUGUUUUGAGGCAGCACCCUAGUCUAGCCAAAACCUUUUAGUCAUAGGAAAUUCUAGCCAUACAAAUAAAAAUAUGGAAAUAAUAGCAUUUCUGACUAAAAUACCUUUUAGUGUGUAACAAUAUAAAAUAUACUAUUACACACUUUUUAGAAACGAAAAAAGUGUGUAAUAGUGUAUUUUACACUGUUACACACUUUUUCGCAACCACACACUUUUACAUUAUUACACACUUUUUCACAAAAGUGUGUAACAGUGUAAAAUACACUGUUACACACUUUUCGCAGUUACACACUUUAUGUUAUUACACACUUUUGCGAAAAAGUGUGUAACAGUAUUAAGGGUAUAAUUGUACAUUUACGUUAGAAAAUGCUAGUUUUUCCAUAUUUUUCUUUGGGUGGACAUUUUUUCCUUUUCUUAGAGCAUCCAUAACGCUUACACGAUAGAGCUUACACGAUAGCCCUAUCGUGUAAAAGCUCUAUCGUGUAACCGUUGCAGACUCGGGUUACACGAGGGCUACACGUUCUAUCGUGUAGCCCAAUUUCUCAAUAGUGUAAGGCGCGUGCGAUGCACGCGCCUAUUUAAAAAAAAAAAAUUGGAUUUGACUGUUGACUCCUCGGUUUGCGUGUUUUUUGACCGUUCAAAAUUUUUUUUUUCCUUUCUUUUCUUCUAUUUAUUCUUCUUCUUCCUCAUUUUUUUCCCUACGCCCUCACUUCUUCUUCUUCAUCUUCUUCAUUUCUUCCUCUCUCUACACCCCAUGGAUCCAAACAACCCAAAUUACUAUGAUCUAAAUUGGUGUCCCGAUCUAUCCGACGAAUAUCAUCCCGAUUUAUCGGGAUGUAACUUGGGGGAUGCUCCUCAGGCCGGCGAGGAGAUGCCUUCGGCCCAUAGUGCCGCCAAACCGAAGAAAGGCAGCCGAAGGAAGAAGUCACCCACAAGAUCCGACAUGAUAGGCCGGCGUCGGUGGCGGAGGCGGAGGAUGACGGAGGUAAGACUAUCCGUCAUACCUACACCACUGAGGAGACGGACAUCAUCGUCCUAAAUUUGGAUGGAGGAGAACAAACGACGCCAUCCGGUGGGACAAAUACAAAAGGGGUUCGAGUACUGGAAGAGGAUCGUCGCCCGUGUCAACCCCCUCAUCGGCGCCCACCUCAAAGUUCGUCAGAUUCAAGGGCACUGGACCCGAGUGGCCCAAGAGGUGCGGUUGUGGGAAAGUAUUUGGGUGGAGGCGCGCAGCAAGUGGCCGUCCGGCCAUUCUGACGAUAUGCUCCGGGACAAGGCCCAAAACUCUUUUCAAAAGUCGGAGCGCAAAUAACGCCUCUUUCAACUACUGGAAUGCGUGGAGAAUUCUCCGAAACAACCACAAGUUCAAGUCGAUGUACCUCGAGGGAGACGUGCAUUCCUCCAAGAGGACAAAGACGACAGAGGAGGGCGACUUCACCACCUCGGCGUCAGGCGAGGAGAUCUCGUCUGCCCGGCCGAUUGGGAACAAGGCGGCGAAGGCGGCGGCAAGGGCGGCGAAAGGGAAGGGGAAGGGGAAGGCGACGGCAAGCUCCGAGCAGUCAUCGGAGUACAAAGAGGCAUUGGAUCAGUCCGAUCAGAACUUGAAAAAUUUCACGGCCGAAUAUGCCAAAAAAGACGAGCUCAAGGAGAGGGAGCUCGACAUGCAACUCCUCAGUCUGGAUACAUCGCAUAUGAGCGAUGUACAGAGGAUGGCCCACGAGCACAUGGUACAAGAAAUGCUCAAGCGUCGUGGCCUUAUCUAGACUAGGAGUUUAAUUUAUGUAAUUUAAAUUAUGUUUUUAAUUUUUUUUUAAUGUAAUUUUUAGGUUUUUUAUUUGAAUGAAAUUUUAAUUAUUAGUCAAAGGUGUUAUUUAAAUUUGAGCAAUUAAAUUUAAGUAAAAAGCAUAAAAAUGGAAACUAAUUCUAUCAUGUCAGCUAUCAUGUAACCCCACUGCAGCAUCUUUACACCAUGUGGUCCCCCAUCAUAAAGUAGGCUAUCAUGUAAGCUAUCAUGUAACCCCAUUGCGGAUGCUCUUAUACAAGAACGGCUAAUUGAGCCCAUUAACUCUUUUGUUUUUUGGAUUAAAAAAAUUAAAAUAGAUACGUACCGAGACAUCAAAAUUUUAAAAAUAAAAUCAGAAUAGGACACCCAAUGAGACACCAAAAACGUAAAAAAAAUAAAUAAAUCUAUAUAUGUUUUAGCCGUUGCUUUGCUCUCCCAACUUUGGUAACCUUAUUGCAUAAUUCUAGGAAUGAACCUAUCGCGCUUCUCAUUCAACAACAAAGAUAUCUAUAUAUAUUCAUCAACAAACACUAGAUCGAUACACAGAUUAUCAAACUGCAGGCGGUGAAGAAACUGAUAAUUAAUUUAUGAAAAGGAAUAACAAAAUUUUAUGAUGCGUUGCUCAUGACUUAGGCUUAGCAGUAGGAGGCGUCUUGGUAGGGGGGUUGAGCUCGUCCCACGCCUGAAUCCACGUCUCCAUUGCAUCGGAGAGCUUGACAAAAUACGGGUCGAUUUUGCCGAGCUUCUCCUUCACCUGUUUGGCCAGCUCAAUGUAGCACUUCUGCACAGUAGUUGAGUCCUUGGAGAGCGUCGCCGAUUGGAAGAAAGGGAUGAUCUCUUCUUGCCAGAAUAUCCCAUUAUACUCCUUUCUCAGAUUCACGAAAGGGUUGCUCGCUUUGCUGUGCCAAAUGUAGGGCAGCCCCGUCUUCACUCCCAACCCUAGAUGAUCACAGAUCACCUGCAUUUUCAUAUACUUAAUGACACUUAAUGUUUAUUUUUCAAAAUCUAGUCGUGAUAUUUCGUUCAGCUGUAUUGUGAAUUAAUUAUUUUUUAAUUGUAUUUCAGAUCUGGUAUGAACGGAGGUUAGUCGUACUAGUCUUGGCACACCACUAGAUCAUGUGCUUGGCACGAAUGGUGCGAAAUAACUCAUUUGUACCAUCUGUUUCAAGAAACAUCAGAUUUCUUGGGAUUAUUAUUUUCUUCUUCACCCUCAUUAAUUCUGCGACCCAUAUGACUGAUCAUUUUCACCCCAAUAAGUCUCCACAUAUGCAAGAUGAACCAUUCGUGCCAAGAUUUGUUGCUUCAAUACUUGGCACGAAUGGUACCAUUUCGUUACGACAAAAAAACCCUAGCUUUCAUUUUGUUCCAAUUACAAGUCAUGAACAAAAUCCGCAUCAAAUGAGUAAAAUAACAUUAAAUCUCAUAGAUCUCAGUCAGAUCUAACUAAAUGCCUAGACUAAAUCUUCAUUUUCAUUCAUAUACUUUUUUUUUAGUAUUAUUAUCGAACAAGAAGAAGCGAUGGAAUAUGAAUGGAAUAGUACCUUGGUGCACCAGCCGGCCCACAUGUCGUCGUAGCGGCCGAUGGGCUGGCCGUCGCCCAUGAGGCCGAAGUACAUGGCGGGGCCGAUGAGGUCGCGGUCGAAGCCGAGGUUCAUGCCGCACAUGGGGAAGAGUGUGCCCUUGGGGAUGGUGAGCACGGCGUCGACGUAGGUGGUGUUGCGCUCGCGCGGCUUGACGAGCUGCGUGGGGGCGUCGUAGUCCGGGAUGUUGAGCCAGAGGCCGUGGGAGACGGCGGUGGGGACCCCCUCCCGCAGGCUGAAGGGGUAUCCGCGCACGAAGUCGGCGCCCUCCCGGAAGGGGUCGUAGAGCGUGUUGAAGAAGAGCGGCGUGGAGGGGCACAGCAGGUUCCUGAUGUGCUGCUCCAGCGCGUUGAUGGGCUUCCCCGAGGGGUCGCUGGCGACGAAGCAGUCGUCGUCGAUGGUGAAGAUGUACUUCUUCUUCGAGAUCAUGUAGCCGAAGCAGCGGCACGCCGAGUCCUUGAAGGAGAUGCAGGAGGCCUUGGGGCCGAGGAUGCGGUUGAUGUCGUUGCGGUUGUAGAGCUCGUAGUCGAAGCCGUCGGGGACCUUGAUGCUCUUCGCAGGGUCGCCGUCUUGGACGAUGAUGAGGUGGUAGGGUUGGAGGAAGGGCCUCCACAUCUCCAGGAAGUCCAGGUUUCGGAUCGUCGGUAUCACGAUGUCGAGCUCGUCUUUCAGGGGCGGCGAGGUGCUGGCCAUGGCGGCGGCGGAUGUGGUGUCGGGGAAUCACCGGGUUUGUGCGGUCGUUUAUAAGGGGAGGAGAGGGGCGGAAGGGGCGGGGGAUGUGGGCUCGUGAAUGGUUCAAACCGAUUCUCGUGUAACGGAUGCCUUUUCCUAUUUUUGUAACUACCUUUGCAUGCAUACUUUUGAGUUUUGAAUAGCGACCGUAAAUAUUUCUCAUCUUGCAUUAAAAAGAUGUGUGCAUAUGAAACAUAAAUUUAAAAUGAUUUUGCAUUAUAUUCCCCCCUCUCUCUUUCUACGAUAAGUCUGGUGUGGAUGAAAAGACACAAAUUUUAAGAUAAUGAGAUGCGUGUAAAAUUGAUGAAAAUAAUUAAUAAAUAGUUUGUGGUGUACGAUGUUAUAAAUAUUGUGCGUGAAUGUGUGUAUUUUAAAAUGAAAAUAUAUAUAAUAUUUAUUGUGGAUUGAUGAAAAUGACAAAAUGAUCAUAUUUAUUAUGAACUGAGGAAGUAGUUAAAUUUACGGUCGUCUUAUAAAUUUAUUACGUAUAAAUAAAUUUACUGCAACCACUAUCUUUUACGUAUAAUUAUUGCAAUAAAUUUACGUGCAGAUGAUAUUUGAUAUGCAUGCAUGUUAUCAUUUGUCAGAUUUUAUAUUUUCAGACAAGAUCAAUGAAGAAAUUUAUAGCAUAAUUUUCCUCCAAUGCGAAUAUCAAGCUGGCUCCAACAAGUAUAUAUAUAUAUAGGGUUAAUUGCCGCUAAAUUCAAAAGCUUUCUAAAAUUUCGCGAUAUUCUCACCAACUUCAAAAUCGGCGUAUGAAUACACGAAUUGAGAAUCCGUUCUUAAUGUUCCCAAAAUUAAAAAAUCCCCAAAAUUUGAAGCUGACAUGGAUGAUCGUAGUUACAGCGUGGCAUAGUCGGCAGCGUAAGNCGGCAGCGUAAGGAAACGACGUCGUUUUUAAAAUCAAAACGACGUCGUUUUGAUUUCCAACAACAUUAAAAAAGAAAAAAAAAUAGCAGAAUUCUCUCUCUCUAUUUCGAACACCACCACCGCCGCCGAGAUCUGAACUUCCAAGCCAUUACGUCGACCGCCGAGUUUCUGGACUUCCAGCCAACCAACCAUCGCCGAGAUCUGAACUUCCAACCACCAGACCACCACCGCCGCCGAUCUCUGGACUCCCACCGUCUCCCUUACUCAUCUCUGCCAGAGUUCUGGACUUCCACCAGACCACCACCACCGCUCAUCUUCGCCUGCUCUCAACUGUCAACAACAACACACACACUCACCUACAACUGCCGCCGGUCAAUCUCUCUCUCGCCUUUCACCGCCGCUCUGCAAAUCGCCUCACCAAAUCGCGGCCUCCCUCCUUCAAAUCGUCACCCCAAAUCCCUCUGCAAAUCGCAACUCUGGGUGUUUGGGGAUGGGGUAGAUGGAGGAGUCGAAGGGUGAGAAAAUAUGUGUACUGAUUUGGGCGGCCUUCUUCUUCGUCGCGGUGGUUGGUCGGGGUGGCGCCGGGGGUUUGGGAGGUGGUGGACGGGGUGGCGCCGAGGGUUGGAUUUGGGAGGUGGUGGUCGGGGGGGUUGGGGAAGGGGGUGUUUGGGGUUGGGGGUAGGUAUUUUCUAUUUUUUUUUAUAAAUUCAUUUAUUAACAUUUUAUUAAAAUAAGAUUAAUUAAAAAAAUUAAAAAAUGACAUGUCAUAUCUAUUUGGCAUUUAAUUGACAUGUCACAGAUGUUUUCCAUGUCAACUCGCCGGAUUUUUUAAUUUUGGGAACAUUAAGAACGAAUUCUCAAUUCGUGUAUUUAUACGCCGAUUUUGAAGUUGGUGAGAAAAUCGCGAAAUUUUAGAAAGCUUUUGAAUUUAGCGGCAAUUAACCCUUUAAUAUUUUGAAAUUAAAUUACUUUCUCAAGACAGAAUCCGAGCCAAACAAACAUGCACCUAAAGUUUUGUGACACGUGACAAUCAUCCAUUAAUACAUAUAUAGAUGAUGUUGCACAAUGAUGCGAUGGACAUUUAAAAAUUCACGUUAAAAUUGUUAAAUUCGAAAUAGUUCAUGAUUUUAUUUGCCAAAAUCUCAAGUUUUAUCCAUCUUCAUUUUUUUGAAGUUGUUUUGUAUGAACGAAAUGUAUUUUUGUAAUUUAAAAGAUAUCUAUAAUUGUGUUAGUAUUAUUUAUUUCUAAUUUAUUUUAAUUAAUUUAUUAUUUUUAUUUAAAAAAAAAUGGACCCCCCUGGAACGAAAGUCUGGCUCCGCCCCUGUCUACACUAAUAUAAACUUUAAAAUCUUGUAACAAACUAACAGAUUUAUAUCGAUCUUUUAUAUUUCUUUUAUCACUUUUUAUCUUGUAACAGAGCAAUCCUAAAAUCUGGUAACAGUAACAGAUUUAUUUGGAAUGUUUUAUAGUAUUUCUUUUAUCCCUUUAAUUCUUCUCAGAAUUAAUAUCCGCAAUGUUUAUUCAAUCUAGUCGCGCUGAAUCGGUAUUUUUUGCCUUUUUUUUAAUCACCAAUACUCUAAAAUUCUAAUAUGUUGUAUAAAAAUAAAAAUAAGAUCGUUGGUGUAGUGGAUAAGUUUAAGUUAUCCAACUCCAUUGACACAUGGUUCAAUUCCUUGUUUUUACAAUUUGAUUUUUUAAAUUAAGGAAAUUUGCUACUGAAUUAAUAGACGAUUAAUACAUGUAUAUGCCAUACAAGUUUUAAAUUGAAUUUGUGUUUAAAAAAUAAAAAUAAAUUGAAUUUACUUUAAUUUGCCAAAAAAUAAUUAUAAAAAUUAUUACCCACAUAUAUAUAAUUGAUAAUUAUGUGUGGUUAAAAAAAUUUAUUGAAUUGCCACGUGUGGACACUAAAUAUAAAAAUAAAUUUCAUUAAAUAAAAUAAAACUAAAAAAAACUCCCGCCAUACAAUACAUACUAAAAUUUGUUUGCUACACAUUUUAAAUGUCAAUAACUAAUUCAAAGUUUCUAACUCAUUCACCUACACAUUUUUUACACAUUUUUCAAAAUACGUGUCAGUAAUUAUGUGUGGGUAAAACAUCAAUUAAGAUUUGCAUAAAUAAUUGAUUAAAGCCAAAAUAUAAAUGUGGCUAAAUAUAUUCUCCCACAUUUAUUACAUGUCAAGAAUUAAUAAUGAUAAAAAUUCAUUAGUCACACAUAAAUAAUUUAGAGUUAUGUGUGGUUAAUAACUUUUAUUAGUUUGCCACGUUGGCACACAAUAUUCAAAAAUAAAUUUUAAUUAUACAUAAAUAAAACUUAAAAAUAACCUUAAAAUAAUAAAUGUCACAAAAUAUUUUUGCUACACAUUUUAAAUGUCAAUAACUAAUGAAUUUUAUUUGGGUGAUUUACCUACACAUAUUGAAAUUAUGUGUGGCUAAACUACCACACAUUAUUAUGUGUGGGUAAUUAUGUGUGGGUAAAAACUCAAUUUCUUGUAGGUGUUCGUACCAUAUCAUUUAAAAAAAUCCAUUCUGAUAAAUUUAAAAUUCACUGCUAUCGUGUUUGAAAUUCACGCUAAUAACCUAGAAUUAAGGAUAAACACGAUAGAAUAUGGUACGAAACGAAGUCGUUUUUACCAUGGCAUUUAAAAAAAUAGAAUAUAAAUUACAUUGUGGCAUCCGGCGAGCCACAUCACGUUUUUUGUGACCGGAAAAUAGAUGCGGGAUAUAUUUGAUAAAAACCUGAUAGUUUGAGGGUUUAGAGAACAUUUUAAAAGUUUCAGGGUAUUUUUGAUAAAGCGGGUAUACUUCAAGGGUUUUCAUGAUAAUUACCCUUACUAUAUAUAUAUAUAUAUAUAUAUAUAUAUAUAUAUAUAUUUUGAUAUAUGUGGACUGUUUGAGGAAUAUGCAUGAUGAUAAGCUUAUAGGCUACCAUUUCGAGUCUGAAUAAAUUUUUCGAAACACCUCAAAUGACAUUAUUCGUGUAAAUUCUUUUGUCGUCCAAGCAAAAAUAUUUUCACUCAACAGUACAGUGUUCGUUUAACUAUACUAUAACUAAAACAAUAAUUACUUUUUAUUAAGGUAUCACGAGUUAAAGAUGGAGAUGAUCUCUAUUUCUGAAAAUUACAGGACAUUGUGUUUCUCAAUAAUUUCAUAAGUCGUGGGGUUUUCGGAAUCCACUUUAUAAACUUUAUAUAUGAGCUAACUAGCUAGCUUCUCCAUGAAAAAGCUAUAGGGACAUAGAGCAAGGGAUGUUGGGACUAUUCUGGCGCACACCGUUAAUAAAAUAUUAGUCUACAAAUUAUAACUAUUAUAUAAAUUUGAAUAUAGUUAGUUUGUGUUUUACUUAAUAUCCUAUCCCCAUUAAUUCCUAUUCCCUCAUGAUAAAUCUUCUAGACAAACAGACAGCAGUUAACAUCAAACAAAUUAAUCAUGUCCUACUCAAUAUUAUCUUGUUUUUGUAUUUUAUUUCAUAUUCGAUGUAUGCUUUGUGCAUUCUAUAAUCACACUAUAUAGAUGAUGUGUUUAUAUCAAUGAAGUGAAAAAAAUAAAUGUAACACAUAAAUGCUGUCGAUAAACCAAUUUGAUCUUUAUCAAGCUUUAGCAGCAAGGGGUAAUAUUUUCCCAAAACUACAAUCAAAUCGCAAUUUAAGAAAGGGUUAAAAUAACUUGUCAACAAAAAAGUAAGGUUACAAUUGAUUGUAUUUCACGUUUUCAUUUUUCCAAUUGGGUGAGUACAUAGUGUUGCGAAACUUUGGAGGGGAAUAGUACGAAAGUAGUGCGUGGGCAGAUAUAAUAAAUUUUUGUAUGAUUGCAUUUGAUGGGCACAUGCCAGUGAUAUUGUGUGGUGUGAUAUUUCUAAACAUGUUACUCCCUCAAUUCUUUAAGAAUGUGACACAAUUAAUUGCCUUAUUCAAUGUUAUAAUUCUAGCAAUAUAAAUUAAAACAGUGUAAUAUAAACAAAUAGCAAGCAAAGUAUCAUACCCACAUAAAUUUAUAUUUGAAAACAAUGAAUAAUAAAAUACAGACAUUCUACUGUAAUUCAGGGUAAAGUAUCAAAUGUGAAUUUUUUUAAAGCCAGGCAAACAAAUAAAGAUUGCAAAAAGUAAAAUAUUAAAUUGAGAUAAUAAAAAAAAUCAUACAAAAUGUAAUGAAUCAACUAAAUUCAUGCAAUUAACAUAUUAAUUAAUUCAAUUAUCAAUUUGAUAUAACCUAGACGAAAGAUCACACAAAUAAUCGCACCCUAACGCUC
rnacentral:lncRNA from 1 species